rnacentral:lncRNA from 1 species
ACACAUCAAGAAGAGGAAGUAUACCUACUCCAGUGGAGAUAGACGCAGAACCAACGUGAGUGAUAGGAAGGAAGUCACUGUUGCCCACCAUCACUUGAUCAACCCCUUCAUACACGUGAGAAUAAUCGAGAUGUUGAGCUGAACUGGUAACAUGGUGAGAAGCUUCACUGUCUGGAUACCACUCUGCUCCUGAAGCUCUGUGUGAAGCUGGAGUGGUGAGAACGUUAGCUUGAUGUGGAGGGUCGUUGACAGCAAAGUGUUCAUCAAAUAUUCUGUAACACUUGUACGUAGGAUGCCCAUACUUGCCACAGAUCUGACAUGUUGGACGCUGGUUUUCUGAGGGCCGAUUUGGCUGAUGACCAAACUGUUGUGGAAACCCUCUUCCUUGCGUAGUGUAAGAGACAGGCCACAAUAUCCUCCACGGUACUUUCCUCUACCACGUCCAGAGUAUCCACCACGGUUGGUAUAAUAGGCUUGAUGAGGAGUGACUUCUUGAACUUGUUCAUAAGCCUUUAACUUAUCUUCAAAGCUGGUGAGUUUAUGAACUACAUCUUCAAAACACAGACCGGGGUACUGAUCCAUGGAAUGCUCUAUCACAGUACUGACUGCUUCAUACUCCUUUCCAAGGCCAUUGAGAACGCCAUAGAUCUUUUCAUGUUCUGUGAUUGGGGCUCCAAUAGAGUCGAGCUGGUCACAAAGCGACUUGAUUUCCGAAAGAUAUACUCCCAUAGUCUUGCUUCCUUUCACCGUUGUCUGAACUCUUCUUUGGAGAUCUAGUUUUCUUGUUGCAGACACACGGUUAUACUUCUUUGCUAAAGCUAGCCAGACAUCUUGAGAAGUGUGAAGACCGUACACUGAUUUGAGGGCAUCUUCAAAUAAGGUUCCGUACAUCCAAGAGAGGAAGAGUUGGUCUUUCUGAACCCAUUUGUUGAACUCCGGGUUCACAGCUUCUGUUUCUUCUUCACCAUUAUGAACUGUGAUUGUUGGAGCAGGACGAGGCUGAGCACCGGUGACAUAUCCGAGAAUCGAUUGACUAGAGAGAAACUUCUCAAACUGAAGUUUCCAGAUGAGAUAGUUCCCUUCCUUGAGCUUCAAAGUGACAGCUUGUGUUAUCGUGAGAGCAGAAACAUCGAGCGGAUCUUGAUUGACAUCCAUCGUCUGAGCUCUGAUACCAUAUAGGUAAGCAUAGAACUUGAGAGAAAGUUGUUUAUUUUGCUGAAUAUUACUGAAGUUUAUUCAUGUGAAAACUUAGCUUACAACUCUAGGUUUAGCUUGAUACUUAUACAAAGGGAACAAAGCAAUCUAGUGACUUCACAGCUGGCUUGACAGCUUACUCAUCUUCACCCAGGAGAGCAUCAAAACGGUUACGCAAGAUGAGAUGAUCAGCUGUAUAAACCAUACUGUUUUGAUCCUUUUUUAUGUUCUGGUCUUUGAUGACUAUUGGUGUUGAUGUUGACUGGUUGGCUUGAUGAAAGAAGGGCCGUCUUGUUGAUUUCUGAUCCAGUAAUGUUAAUAUUAUGGAAUCCAGAUGUUUUUUUGUUAAAAAAGAAAAGAAGAGAAAUCCAGACGUUAAAGUCUCCGUAGCUUACAAGCAUAUAUGGUAUAUAAAUAACAUAUUUGAUAUAAAAACUUUUGUUUUUUUUAUCCCUUAUUCAAGCGUUUUGAGCAGACAAGGUGUUAAAGUCAUCCCUAGCCUUACGCAAGCGUGGGGGGGUAUCAGAUCGCGGCGACGUAGCACGUAGGGCAUGAAACCGACGGUGAAGAAAAAGUUUAAAAUCUCACACGGCUUAGCAAUGAUCACUUUGCGACGACCGUGAGCUCCUCGUCUUUAAAACGCUUGUCACAGCCAUAAUCUCUGUUUCUCUAUCGAACGAGAAACUAGAAGUCGCCGGUUCUUGCAUAUAUCUUCCUCCUUUUCCGCCUCCACGGCUGCAGCACUUCAACAACUCCACCGGUAAAUCAAAAUACGACCGACCAUUAUCUUGCGUCAGAGACGUAGUCGAUGUCCAAGAAUGGGACCAUUCGUAUUUCUCGACCGAGGUAAAGGAAGACGCUGUGAUCAUCUUCUUCUUUUCCAUCGAGUCUUUGCGUUUUGAAGAUCUAACUGGCUUGUGUUUCCCGAGUCCAGGUAGAGACAAGCAGAAGGCGUUACACUUGAAAUCUUCUUCCUUGUAAAAGAUUUUCUUCGAGUAGAGAGAUUUUGUCAUAAAAAGAAAGGAUUCUUGGUGGCUAAGUUUCUUCCGAGUUCUCGUCGGCUCAGGGAACAUAGGAAGCGGAAAGGUUGAGUCCCUAGGCGGAGGCAUGGCCGGUGGCAACACCAUUCUGAAGCUAUCCUCUUUUGCCGAAGAACGGGAGGAAAUAGAACCGGUUGAUUUCUCACUCUCCACGGUUGCCUUCUUUACCAAGAAAUUGAAACUAUGGUUAGGGUUAGGGCUAGAGUUUACUUCGGGGAAAACCGUGAAACCCUUCCACUCGUUAUCUAAACCAUCAUCAUAUGCAGGCAUUGCCGGAUUGCCGGAGGAGGAAUGAAAACUAAAAGGUAAGAUUUUGAUUUCAGGGUUUUGCAAAUUUCCGGGUAAAAAAUAUGCAGAUGAGACGGGAACCGUAACGGAUAAUUCCCGAACUAGAAACCCUUCUUGAGGAUUCGAAGAAUGGGGAUACACAAGCGUAGAAGAAGAUCGUUAAGGUAGAGAGAUCUUCUUAGAUGAAUGUGUUCGUAAGCGUAGCUUUGUAAGAGCUUUGCAAGAUAACUUGAGAGAUAAGGAAGUUAGGGAAAAAUAGUUUAUUGAUUGAGUUCUCUUAGCUAUCGUAAGAGUUACAUAUAUAGUAAAACCAAAAUAUAGAUAAGGCUAGAACUAAUCCUUAUCCUAAUAGAAAUCAUAAAUAAGAACUUGAUAAUGAUAAAACAUAACGAUAAAGCCGUUAAAACCGUUAGUGACGUGUCCUGUCACAAUACUCCCUCCUUCAGAACAGACUUGGCCUCAAGGCUGAAACUCAGGAUAUUGCGCAAUGAAGUCUUGGUAGAACUCCCAAGUCGCCUGUUGAGGAGUAGAACCUUUCCACUGGACGAGAAUCUUGGUCACUGGUUUAUUUUGCCGAUUGACCAUUUUCUUUUCCAAUAUGAGUUCAGGUUCUCUACUUGAACCAAUGUCGUUGAGGUAUUGUGGCAGAGGAGGCAUUGAAGUUGAAGCUGGCGGGUUGGGACACAGUUUCAGUUGACUCACAUGGAACGAAGCUUGACUGUUGGAUCAUCACCUACUACGAGUUUCCCUCGACGGCGUAGUUCUCCAUUCACGAACGUGUAUGACGGGUGAAGGGAUUUGUUGUCCUGCAGCUCGGAGAUGAUCUUUUUAAGAGACGGAUCAGUGUCCCACAAAGCUUUCAGUUCCUCAUAAAACCCAUGAUGGGCUUGAGAUAGCGUGAUCUGAAGCAAUUGGGAGCCAGAAACGCGAGAUAACGCGUCUGCUGCGACGUUCUCCUUGCCUUGUUUGUAUUGAAUUUCAAACAUGUAUCCCAUUAAUUUGGACAGCCACAUGUGUUGAAAAGGAGUUGUGAUCUUCUGUUCCAGGAGAAAUUUGAGGCUCCUCUGAUCAGUUCGAAUUAUAAACUUGUUAUGAGCCAAGUAAGCAUUCCAAGUUUGGACCGCGUGAACCACUGCAAGAAGUUCCUUUUCGUAGACUGAAAGGUUUUGAUGUCGUGGUCCCAAUGCUCUACUAAUGUAGCAGAUAGGAUGGUUAUCUUGCAUGAGCACGGCGCCUAUACCCGUCUUGGAUGCGUCCGUUUCUACUAUGAAUGGCUUAGAGAAAUCAGGUAAGGCGAGGACAGGUGCCGUUAUUAAGGCCGUUUUUAAAUCUUGAAACGCUGAGUUUGCUUCUGUACACCACGAGAAUCCAUCUUUCCGGAGUAGUAAGGUGAGUGGUGGUGCGAUUAUACUGUAACCUUGUAUAAAACGUCUGUAGUAGUUAGCAAGACCUAAGAAGCUCCUGAUCUGCUUUUGGUUACUAGGAAUGGGCCAAUUUUCGACUGCUUUUAUCUUAACUGGAUCGGUGCUGACGCCGGCAGAAGAUAUAAAGUGGCCAAGGUAUUCAAUCCUUGUUGCUCCGAAGGUGCACUUGGAUUGCUUGAGGUAGAGCUGGUGGUGUCGAAGUAUUUCGAAAACCAUGUCGAUAUGAAUGAGGUGAUCUUCCCAGGUGUUGCUGUAUAUCAGGAUAUAUUCGAAGAAAACUAGCAGACACUUACGAAGAAUCGGUUCAAACACAUGAUUCAUCAGGCCCUAGAAGGUACACGGGGCGUUAGUAAGUCCGAAAGGCAUGACGAGGUAUUCGUAGUGGCCCGCGUGGGUUUUGAAUGCUGUUUUGUACACGUCUUCAGGAGACAUGCGUAGCUGAUGGAAACCGGCGCGUAAGUCCAGCUUGGAGAAAAAUUUGGCACCUCCCAGUUCGUCUAACAGAUCUUCCAGUAGGGGAAUAUGGUAUUUAUCUUUGAUCGUCUGUUUGUUUAAGCCUCUAUAAUCCACACAUAAACGCCAUGAACCGUCUUUCUUUUUCACAAGGACUACUGGGGAAGCGUAUGGACUGGAGCUGUAUUGAAUGAUUCCUUGAGUUAGCAUCUCACGAAUCAUCUUAUCGAUCGAGUCUUUCUGCAUCGACGAGUAUCGGUAUGGCCGUAGAUUGACAGGGUUAGUUCCUGCUUCGAGUGGGAUUUUGUGAUUGAAACCGUCUCGGAAUGGAGGAAGAGACGAAGGCUCAUCAAAGAUAUCAGAGUAAGAGUCAAGGAUUCGUUGGAGUGAUCCGUUUUCGUCGAGCUGUGGGUUGCUUGCUUCUAUGUGGUAGAAGAUAGUCUCGGGGUUAAGUGGUUGCUGCGGUGAAGUAGUGUCGUUGAUCUCGCGUAAGUGGAGGAGGGCGAGCUGAGGUUGUUGUAGUAAUAACUUGUUUAAGCUGUUUCCUGUGACGACUUUGGGGUUGUUUGGUGUUGCUCCUCGGAAAACAUGUUUUAGACCUUUGAAGUUGAAUUCCAUUCGUAGAUUCAGAAAAUCCCAAAGGAUAGGGCCCAAGUUUGAUAGCCAUUGAACUCCUAGUACCAAAUUACUGCAUCCCAGCGCCAAAGUUCUUGUUUCAGUUGUAAAGUCGUAGCCCUGCAUCUUCCACGUGAACGGGCUGCAUUUGUAUUUGGUUAUCAAGUCACCGCUGGCUGCAACCACUGCCAUUGGUUUGAUUGGUGUUAAAGAACAGCCCAAGCUCUUGGCAAUUUGUAGGUCGAGGAAGUUAUGUGUGCUGCCGGGAUCGAUCAGAAUAUGCAGUUUUCUUUUUCCGUAUUGACCCAUUAGGCGCAUACAGUUGAACGUCGGACAACCGUUUAAUGCGUGUACCGAGAUCGUAGGGACCUUAUCAUCAUCUGCAAUUGUUGUUUCGCGUAUCUGUUCGUCGAAAGCGAUUUCUUCGUCGAAUUCUGUUUGGUCGGCUUCAAGAAGUAAAAGCUCUGAACGUCGAUGUUUCAGUUGAUGGCCAGGUGUGAAAGGUUCCUCGCAAUACAUACACAAACCUUUACGUUUUCGUUCCUGCAUCUCGUCGAAAGAAAACCGUUUCUGAGGUGCAUUAGGUAUUAACGGUUUGUUGUUUUGAUUGUCGCUGGUGUUGGACGAUGUUGGUGUUGUUGUGCUGUAUUGAUUCUUGUUUUGUUGAAAGUUUGAUCUCUGAGACGUGUUGAAGGUUGGCCGUGAUGUCUUUGUCGGAGCAUGGAGUAGGGAUAGCUCAUGGAGUUUCGCGAUUCGUGCUGCCUCUGGUACUGUGGAAGCUUUGAACUGGCGGACAUGAAAGGCUAGAUGCUGAUUCAUGUUUGUGAGGAAGAUACUUAAGGCGUGAGCAGGAGCCAAAGUAAUCCUUGUCAUAGCACAAUCAAACUUUUCCAGAUAGAUGUCGAUGGAGUCGUUUGCUUGUUUUAGACUGACUAAUUCAGAGAGAGGAUCAUCGAAAAGUUCGCUGAAGCGUUCCGAUACAGCAGAGACAUAGUCGGGCCAUAGUGGAAAUAUGUUGUAGCGGUUGGCUAUGUAGGCGUGAUGCCAUUGAAGAGCCUUGCCGGUCAUAUGAAGGGAGGCGAGACGAACCUUCAAUUCUGGUGGAGUACUAUCGAUCGAAAAGAAUUGUUCGCAACGGUAAAUCCAUUCACGAAGUGCUGUUCCAUCAAACAUCGGGAACCCUAUUUUUGUUAACCGUGACGAGAGUGUAUUGGGGAGCUGUGGAGUAGCGUUUUGGUCGGAGUUCAUUGGUGUUGUUUUUGCUGUACUCUGUUCUCCUGUGAAGCGAUCUGGUGGGUCUGGUUUCUGGGAUUUGUCAGCAGCUGUGAGGCCGGAACUUCCCUCUUGUUGUGUUGACUGCGAAUUGCUAUUAAGGAAUUUUUCCAUCAUAGCUUUAAGCUCGGCGAUUUCUCCUCCAAGAUCCUUGCGUAUUUCCUCUGAUUGUUGAGUUUGUGAUAAACGCAAGUCGUCAAGGUUUUUGUUCAUCUCGGCCAGCGCGGUGGUUUGCCUUGUGUCCAUAGUUUGGUCCUAAGGUAUUGAAAUGCUCUGAUACCACUGAGACGGGAACCGUAACGGAUAAUUCCCGAACUAGAAACCCUUCUUGAGGAUUCGAAGAAUGGGGAUACACAAGCGUAGAAGAAGAUCGUUAAGGUAGAGAGAUCUUCUUAGAUGAAUGUGUUCGUAAGCGUAGCUUUGUAAGAGCUUUGCAAGAUAACUUGAGAGAUAAGGAAGUUAGGGAAAAAUAGUUUAUUGAUUGUGUUCUCUUAGCUAUCGUAAGAGUUACAUAUAUAGUAAAACCAAAAUAUAGAUAAGGCUAGAACUAAUCCUUAUCCUAAUAGAAAUCAUAAAUAAGAACUUGAUAAUGAUAAAACAUAACGAUAAAGCCGUUAAAACCGUUAGUGACGUGUCCUGUCACAAUACUCCCUCCUUCAGAACAGACUUGGCCUCAAGGCUGAAACUCAGGAUAUUGCGCAAUGAAGUCUUGGUAGAACUCCCAAGUCGCCUGUUGAGGAGUAGAACCUUUCCACUGGACGAGAAUCUUGGUCACUGGUUUAUUUUGCCGAUUGACCAUUUUCUUUUCCAAUAUGAGUUCAGGUUCUCUACUUGAACCAAUGUCGUUGAGGUAUUGUGGCAGAGGAGGCAUUGAAGUUGAAGCUGGCGGGUUGGGACACAGUUUCAGUUGACUCACAUGGAACACAUUAUGUAUGGAAGUAGUUGGUGGUAGUUCAAGCUUGUAAGCCCGCGAACCAACUCUGUCUUGUACGCGAAACGGACCGUAGUAACGUGGUGAAAGCUUGUGAGGCAAGUUACGACCCUUCAGCGAAUGUUGACGAUAUGGUUGAAGUUUCAAGUACACAUAGUCACCAACAGAGAACUCACGAUCAGAACGAUGAGAAUCAGCGUACUGUUUCAUUCGAUUUUGAGCCCGCAAGAGGUGGAACUUCAUCAUAUCAAUGAGUGCUUCCCUUUUCUGAAGCGUUCGGUCAAUAGCUUGUGAUGAACUUUCUCCAGGCAAGUAAGGUAUGUGUAUUGGCGGAGGCUGACCGUAGACGAUCUCGAACGGUGUACUGUGAAUAGCCGAGUGAUAGGUUGUGUUAUACCACCAUUCCGCGAGAGGAAGCCAAGAGCUCCAAGAACGAGGCGAGUCAGAGACCAUACAUCGUAAGUAUGUUUCCAAAGUCUUGUUUGUAACCUCUGUCUGACCGUCGGAUUGAGGAUGAUAGGCUGUUGAGAAGUUGAGAUCGACACCAUGGACACGGAACAUCUCUCGCCAUACUUCACUUAAGAAGGUGGGAUCCCGGUCGCUAGUAAUGUCUUUGGGCAUUCCAUGGAGGCGGAAGACCUGAUCCAAGUAAACUUUGGCGACAUCCAUAGCAGUGUAUGGGUGUGAUAGAGCCAUAAAGUGGGCGUUUUUACUUAGCCUAUCAAUGACCACGAGGAUGCAAUGUUUGCCGGCAGAUGGGGGCAGACCUUCUAUGAAGUCGAGACUUAUUGACUCCCAAAAUCCUGCAGGGACCGGAAGUGGUUGCAGCAGACCUGGCUUUGCUGCCAAAUCGUAUUUGUUCUUCUGACAGGUUGGGCAAUUUCGAACAUAGUUUUGAGUUUCUAAGCUCAUCUUCGGCCAAAAGAACAGAGUUUUGAUGCGCUGCAGUGUCGAAUCACGACCCGAGUGUCCUCCAAUAGCUGAAUCGUGUAGCCAUUUAUAUAUGUGAAGCUUGACUGUUGGAUCAUCACCUACUAUGAGUUUCCCUCGACGGCGUAGUUCUCCAUUCACGAACGUGUAUGACGGGUGAAGGGAUUUGUUGUCCUGCAGCUCGGAGAUGAUCUUUUUAAGAGACGGAUCAGUGUCCCACAAAGCUUUCAGUUCCUCAUAAAACCCAUGAUGGGCUUGAGAUAGCGUGAUCUGAAGCAAUUGGGAGCCAGAAACGCGAGAUAACGCGUCUGCUGCGACGUUCUCCUUGCCUUGUUUGUAUUGAAUUUCAAACAUGUAUCCCAUUAAUUUGGACAGCCACAUGUGUUGAAAAGGAGUUGUGAUCUUCUGUUCCAGGAGAAAUUUGAGGCUCCUCUGAUCAGUUCGAAUUAUAAACUUGUUAUGAGCCAAGUAAGCAUUCCAAGUUUGGACCACGUGAACCACUGCAAGAAGUUCCUUUUCGUAGACUGAAAGGUUUUGAUGUCGUGGUCCCAAUGCUCUACUAAUGUAGCAGAUAGGAUGGUUAUCUUGCAUGAGCACGGCGCCUAUACCCGUCUUGGAUGCGUCCGUUUCUACUAUGAAUGGCUUAGAGAAAUCAGGUAAGGCGAGGACAGGUGCCGUUAUUAAGGCCGUUUUUAAAUCUUGAAACGCUGAGUUUGCUUCUGUACACCACGAGAAUCCAUCUUUCCGGAGUAGUAAGGUGAGUGGUCGUGCGAUUAUACUGUAACCUUGUAUAAAACGUCUGUAGUAGUUAGCAAGACCUAAGAAGCUCCUGAUCUGCUUUUGGUUACUAGGAAUGGGCCAAUUUUCGACUGCUUUUAUCUUAACUGGAUCGGUGCUGACGCCGGCAGAAGAUAUAAAGUGGCCAAGGUAUUCAAUCCUUGUUGCUCCGAAGGUGCACUUGGAUUGCUUGAGGUAGAGCUGGUGGUGUCGAAGUAUUUCGAAAACCAUGUCGAUAUGAUUGAGGUGAUCUUCCCAGGUGUUGCUGUAUAUCAGGAUAUCGUCGAAGAAAACUAGCAGACACUUACGAAGAAUCGGUUCAAACACAUGAUUCAUCAGGCCCUAGAAGGUACACGGGGCGUUAGUAAGUCCGAAAGGCAUGACGAGGUAUUCGUAGUGGCCCGCGUGGGUUUUGAAUGCUGUUUUGUACACGUCUUCAGGAGACAUGCGUAGCUGAUGGAAACCGGCGCGUAAGUCCAGCUUGGAGAAAAAUUUGGCACCUCCCAGUUCGUCUAACAGAUCUUCCAGUAGGGGAAUAUGGUAUUUAUCUUUGAUCGUCUGUUUGUUUAAGCCUCUAUAAUCCACACAUAAACGCCAUGAACCGUCUUUCUUUUUCACAAGGACUACUGGGGAAGCGUAUGGACUGGAGCUGUAUUGAAUGAUUCCUUGAGUUAGCAUCUCACGAAUCAUCUUAUCGAUCGAGUCUUUCUGCAUCGACGAGUAUCGGUAUGGCCGUAGAUUGACAGGGUUAGUUCCUGCUUCGAGUGGGAUUUUGUGAUUGAAACCGUCUCGGAAUGGAGGAAGAGACGAAGGCUCAUCAAAGAUAUCAGAGUAAGAGUCAAGGAUUCGUUGGAGUGAUCCGUUUUCGUCGAGCUGUGGGUUGCUUGCUUCUAUGUGGUAGAAGAUAGUCUCGGGGUUAAGUGGUUGCUGCGGUGAAGUAGUGUCGUUGAUCUCGCGUAAGUGGAAGAGGGCGAGCUGAGGUUGUUGUAGUAAUAACUUGUUUAAGCUGUUUCCUGUGACGACUUUGGGGUUGUUUGGUGUUGCUCCUCGGAAAACAUGUUUUAGACCUUUGAAGUUGAAUUCCAUUCGUAGAUUCAGAAAAUCCCAAAGGAUAGGGCCCAAGUUUGAUAGCCAUUGAACUCCUAGUACCAAAUUACUGCAUCCCAGCGCCAAAGUUCUUGUUUCAGUUGUAAAGUCGUAGCCCUGCAUCUUCCACGUGAACGGGCUGCAUUUGUAUUUGGUUAUCAAGUCACCGCUGGCUGCAACCACUGCCAUUGGUUUGAUUGGUGUUAAAGAACAGCCCAAGCUCUUGGCAAUUUGUAGGUCGAGGAAGUUAUGUGUGCUGCCGGGAUCGAUCAGAAUAUGCAGUUUUCUUUUUCCGUAUUGACCCAUUAGGCGCAUACAGUUGAACGUCGGACAACCGUUUAAUGCGUGUACCGAGAUCGUAGGGACCUUAUCAUCAUCUGCAAUUGUUGUUUCGCGUAUCUGUUCGUCGAAAGCGAUUUCUUCGUCGAAUUCUGUUUGGUCGGCUUCAAGAAGUAAAAGCUCUGAACGUCGAUGUUUCAGUUGAUGGCCAGGUGUGAAAGGUUCCUCGCAAUACAUACACAAACCUUUACGUUUUCGUUCCUGCAUCUCGUCGAAAGAAAACCGUUUCUGAGGUGCAUUAGGUAUUAACGGUUUGUUGUUUUGAUUGUCGCUGGUGUUGGACGAUGUUGGUGUUGUUGUGCUGUAUUGAUUCUUGUUUUGUUGAAAGUUUGAUCUCUGAGACGUGUUGAAGGUUGGCCGUGAUGUCUUUGUCGGAGCAUGGAGUAGGGAUAGCUCGUGGAGUUUCGCGAUUCGUGCUGCCUCUGGUACUGUGGAAGCUUUGAACUGGCGGACAUGAAAGGCUAGAUGCUGAUUCAUGUUUGUGAGGAAGAUACUUAAGGCGUGAGCAGGAGCCAAAGUAAUCCUUGUCAUAGCACAAUCAAACUUUUCCAGAUAGAUGUCGAUGGAGUCGUUUGCUUGUUUUAGACUGACUAAUUCAGAGAGAGGAUCAUCGAAAAGUUCGCUGAAGCGUUCCGAUACAGCAGAGACAUAGUCGGGCCAUAGUGGAAAUAUGUUGUAGCGGUUGGCUAUGUAGGCGUGAUGCCAUUGAAGAGCCUUGCCGGUCAUAUGAAGGGAGGCGAGACGAACCUUCAAUUCUGGUGGAGUACUAUCGAUCGAAAAGAAUUGUUCGCAACGGUAAAUCCAUUCACGAAGUGCUGUUCCAUCAAACAUCGGGAACCCUAUUUUUGUUAACCGUGACGAGAGUGUAUUGGGGAGCUGUGGAGUAGCGUUUUGGUCGGAGUUCAUUGGUGUUGUUUUUGCUGUACUCUGUUCUCCUGUGAAGCGAUCUGGUGGGUCUGGUUUCUGGGAUUUGUCAGCAGCUGUGAGGCCGGAACUUCCCUCUUGUUGUGUUGACUGCGAAUUGCUAUUAAGGAAUUUUUCCAUCAUAGCUUUAAGCUCGGCGAUUUCUCCUCCAAGAUCCUUGCGUAUUUCCUCUGAUUGUUGAGUUUGUGAUAAACGCAAGUCGUCAAGGUUUUUGUUCAUCUCGGCCAGCGCGGUGGUUUGCCUUGUGUCCAUAGUUUGGUCCUAAGGUAUUGAAAUGCUCUGAUACCACUGAGACGGGAACCGUAACGGAUAAUUCCCGAACUAGAAACCCUUCUUGAGGAUUCGAAGAAUGGGGAUACACAAGCGUAGAAGAAGAUCGUUAAGGUAGAGAGAUCUUCUUAGAUGAAUGUGUUCGUAAGCGUAGCUUUGUAAGAGCUUUGCAAGAUAACUUGAGAGAUAAGGAAGUUAGGGAAAAAUAGUUUAUUGAUUGAGUUCUCUUAGCUAUCGUAAGAGUUACAUAUAUAGUAAAACCAAAAUAUAGAUAAGGCUAGAACUAAUCCUUAUCCUAAUAGAAAUCAUAAAUAAGAACUUGAUAAUGAUAAAACAUAACGAUAAAGCCGUUAAAACCGUUAGUGACGUGUCCUGUCACAGCAGAAGAUAGAGAGAUAUAAGUAGUAGCAGUAAAAACGAAAAAUAAAUAGGUAGUAGGAAAAAAUAUAAAGAAAAUGGGAAGCAUGUUGUCAUGCCCGCGUAGAGGAAAAGUACUGACUUAGACCAUGAUUAUCGGCAAUCCUUAAUGGGGUUUUAAAGUUAAAUGAUUGAUUUAAUUAAAUCAAAAAUAAAUAAAAACCUUUUUACCGAUCUUUAAUGAGAUUUUUUCUUCUCUCUCUCUUUCUUUUCCUUUUUUUUCGUCUUCUCCGACUGCUUUGAUUUCAUUGAUUUCAAAUUGUGUUGAUUCUCUGUCUUGGUGACUCCUUCUCGGGACUUUGUGAUUACUCGAGAUGGAAACAAGGUACAUAGAUUCUUAAUGCAAAUUUUUGGCUUUGUUGACUUCACGUAACUGAUCACAAUCGUGUAUUCACUAGGUACCUGUAUCGGAACUUGAUCGUAAUUGGGGGUUUGUGUGGUUCAUCCUUUUGAGAUUGUGAUUUGAAGUUGAGAUUUUUUUUUGCUGAAGAUUGAUCUUUUAUCUUAUUAUUACUGAUGGGACGAUGAGAAGCAACCAGUUGGGGGUUCGUCUGCUUAGCUAUGAGAUGAAUCGGGGGUACUUUGCUGAUACGAAAGAGUUUAAGGAACAUGGUGGUAAGGUAAUGAUUGAUGGUAGUAGUCACAAUCAAAAGACCUGAGAUUCUGGUUUUCUUUGUUCUUAGCUAUGCAUGAUCAAUGGGGUUUGUGAAGUUUCUUAACUGAUAAUUGAUGUUGUUGCAGAUAACAGCUGCGAAUAAGACUGUGAUUCAUGCUGUGUCAGCUGUGAAAUUUCCGGAAUUGGCUGUGACUCUUUCUAGUGGAAAAGUCUUGAAGUUGCCUGUUACUUCUGGUAGCAGUGAGGUUAACGCAGAGAGUUUGGUUGUUCCUAAGGUAUCAUUGGUGUGUCUGUCUUUUUGAGCAAGUUCCCAGGUACAGAUAAUUCCAUACUGUUUUUUUUAUUUGGUUGCAUACUUCAAUUGGAACCAAGAGAAUGUUUAGUUAGCCUUUGUUAACAGGUGUGUAGUAUUAAUGGAAGUGUUUGUUGUUGAGACUAAGCAGUGGUUUUAAGAUGAAGUGUUUUAUCAGUGUGAUUGUUGAUAAAUAUGACCUUGUAUUAUGGCUUAUCUCAAUCUCUUAUGCUGCUGUGAUGUGGUUAAUGUGUCUGACAGGAAAUGAUCAGUUCCUGGAGCAAGCCAUUUCUUGAGUCCCAGUUCCUCAUUCUGAGACAGUUGACAAGUGCACAUGUAACAUUAUAUCUAUGUCCAUAUUACCGUUAGGAUGAAUUAUUAUUUUGAUGAGGGCAUUUUGAUUAAUAGGUUGAACAGGGAGAUGAGAAGUUGUCUGUCCAACGUGCAAUGCUGAUGGAGAGCCGGUGUUUUACAAGGAAAAUCAGAUGAUGAAGUGUUCUGCUUGUUAUGGAAGAGGUUUGAAUGCUCUUAAAGAUGGAUCCGAUUCAAUGUAAAGUCGCAUUCCACCUGGAGAAGAACAAGAUACUUGACUACUUUCAAGUCCAUGACAUGGUUCGCCAAACCCCAGGUCUUGCUCCUUGUGAUACUUGAAGUUCGAUUCUUGUUUUAGUUUAAGAGUUUGUGAUCAUCUACUAGUAGAAUUUAGUGACUAUUUAAUAAAAAAAAAUUAAUUUUUUUUUAAAAAAACCCAAAUUAAGAAACUUUCAUUGUAGCACAAAAAUUAGGUGAUUCUUAACUAAGGUCCUUAGCUAAAAUUUAUUAGAGCAUGAUUAACGCUAGGAGGGAGCCUGGGUUCUUAGGUUUUUGUCCGAUUAAAAAAAAAAAAACUAAUCAAUCGCGGGCCACCACGUGUCAGUGGAGUUCGCGAACAGUACAAAAACUCUAUGAAACUCGCAUCUUGCAGAAGAAGAGGAAGAGUUGAGUUUUAAGAAAAAUAUGGAGUCCACCUCUUAAGAGCCCACUUGAGAGGUGGAGAUAAAUGUGCUCUUAAAUGUUUGUCGGUUCUAUUAUGUCCUAACAUUUACUAUCAUGAUUCAUGUGUGUAUAUGGAUGCAAGGAUCUUAACAUAAAAUGAGAAUUGAAGUUUCGACUUUCCAAUUUAGGAAUGUUUGAUGGAGACAGUCAGAUAGAAGAAAUGGUUUGCCCUUCGUUGUGAUCUGAUCCUUUGAAGUAAAUACUCACAUUUGUCAUUUACACAUGUUUCAACUUCUUGGUAAUAAUAUUAGAUAAUCUGAGUUAUAAGUACACGCCCCUUUGUGAAUUGACCGCUGAAAAGAGUUUGUCAACUUGCUAAUUAUCAAAAAGGCAAAGACACAUUCGAAGUAAAUACUCACAUUUACUAUCUUUUACACGCUAGGUGAUUUUCACGUGGUAUAGAUAUUUCUAAAAUAAAUAUACUAUAAUAAUUGAUUACAAUUUAUUUUUAAUUUUAAAUUAAUUUAUAAUAUGUAUGCAUCAUUUAUAUUAAUAAUAUUAUAUUAUUUUAAUUAUACAUAUGAUUUUAUAUAUGUUAUAUCUAAUCGGUUUUGUUGUUUUUACAGUCGAUUAGCUAUCAUUGGGUAAAUUGGAUUGCAUAUCUGAAUUCAACUGUAAUAUUUUUAUUCUAUAUAUCAAAAUUUUGAUUAAUUUUUUAUUUGCAUUUAGGUAGUUGUUGUCUUAGAUAUGUAAAUAUAUUUUAUGAAGAUUAUGUAUAACUUAAGAUAUAUUGUGCUUGUAAUGAAAUAAAAAAAUAAACUGAAGUGUCUGAUUCCAAAUUACAUAAAUUAAUAUAACGAUAAUAUUAUGAAUAUUUUACAAAAGAACUAAAUUGUAUCAGUUGGUUAAAUAUAUGAAUUUUACAAAAUAACUAAAUUGUAACAGUUGAUUAAAAAUAAACUAAAGUGUAGUAUGAUUUAUAUUUAUAAAAUAAAUUACUAUUCUUAUAAAAUUAUAUAUUCUUAUCCUAGUUAAAUAUAUGAUUUUAGAUAUAAGUUGGAUUAGUUGAGUCACUCAUGUAGUGAAUAUAUCGAGUUACAUAUAUUUUUUCAAAUUCAAAAUGAAGUAUAAUUAUUUUUAUUAUAAUUAAGUCAAAUCAAAUCAAUUUUAUUUAUCAUUUAAAUGUGCAUGUAUUUUCAUAUCAUUUAUCAAAUUAUAUAUUGAUGUUUUUAAAAAAUAUCAGAAUAUAAAGUGAUGAUCAACAAUUACAUGCAUAAGUAGUUGAUACAUUUUUGGAAGAUCAUGAAAACAUAUUAAUAUUUACAAUAAUUAAAAUAUUUUAUAAAUUAUAAAUAACUUUAUGCAUUUGAUUUAUGAAAUGGAGGUCAACUUGCUAAUUAUCAAAAAGGCAAAGACACAUUCGAAGUAAAUACUCACAUUUACUAUCUUUUACACGCUAGGUGAUUUUCACGUGGUAUAGAUAUUUCUAAAAUAAAUAUACUAUAAUAAUUGAUUACAAUUUAUUUUUAAUUUUAAAUUAAUUUAUAAUAUGUAUGCAUCAUUUAUAUUAAUAAUAUUAUAUUAUUUUAAUUAUACAUAUGAUUUUAUAUAUGUUAUAUCUAAUCGGUUUUGUUGUUUUUACAGUCGAUUAGCUAUCAUUGGGUAAAUUGGAUUGCAUAUCUGAAUUCAACUGUAAUAUUUUUAUUCUAUAUAUCAAAAUUUUGAUUAAUUUUUUAUUUGCAUUUAGGUAGUUGUUGUCUUAGAUAUGUAAAUAUAUUUUAUGAAGAUUAUGUAUAACUUAAGAUAUAUUGUGCUUGUAAUGAAAUAAAAAAAUAAACUGAAGUGUCUGAUUCCAAAUUACAUAAAUUAAUAUAACGAUAAUAUUAUGAAUAUUUUACAAAAGAACUAAAUUGUAUCAGUUGGUUAAAUAUAUGAAUUUUACAAAAUAACUAAAUUGUAACAGUUGAUUAAAAAUAAACUAAAGUGUAGUAUGAUUUAUAUUUAUAAAAUAAAUUACUAUUCUUAUAAAAUUAUAUAUUCUUAUCCUAGUUAAAUAUAUGAUUUUAGAUAUAAGUUGGAUUAGUUGAGUCACUCAUGUAGUGAAUAUAUCGAGUUACAUAUAUUUUUUCAAAUUCAAAAUGAAGUAUAAUUAUUUUUAUUAUAAUUAAGUCAAAUCAAAUCAAUUUUAUUUAUCAUUUAAAUGUGCAUGUAUUUUCAUAUCAUUUAUCAAAUUAUAUAUUGAUGUUUUUAAAAAAUAUCAGAAUAUAAAGUGAUGAUCAACAAUUACAUGCAUAAGUAGUUGAUACAUUUUUGGAAGAUCAUGAAAACAUAUUAAUAUUUACAAUAAUUAAAAUAUUUUAUAAAUUAUAAAUAACUUUAUGCAUUUGAUUUAUGAAAUGGAGACUGAAAUUUAUUUUAAAUAAUCUUAAAAAUGAGAAUUCAGAUUUGAAUUGGUAUUUUGAUUAUGGUUCUAUUAAGUUCCACAAACAUAAAAACAUAAAAUUUAAAAGAAAAUUUAAUAUUAAGAAAAUAUAUAGCGUUAAUUUUAUCAAAUGAUUUUUUUUUAAAUUAGUUUUUUAAAUCUCUUAAUAAUAAACAGUAAACAAAAUUGUGAUUGUAUUUGAAAAUAAUAUUAUAUAGGUAAAGUAUAGUUUAUUGAUAUUUUUUUGAUGUAAUUGAAAGAUAUUAUAAUCAUCUAAAUAUAUGAAAAAUAAAUAAAAAAUUCAAUAUUACUAAUUAUAAACUAUUUUUAGUCAAUUAAACAUAUAUCAAUAUAUGUACAUAAAUUAAUAUAACGAUAAUAUUAUGAAUAUUUUACAAAAGAACUAAAUUGUAUCAGUUGGUUAAAUAUAUGAAUUUUACAAAAUAACUAAAUUGUAACAGUUGAUUAAAAAUAAACUAAAGUGUAGUAUGAUUUAUAUUUAUAAAAUAAAUUACUAUUCUUAUAAAAUUAUAUAUUCUUAUCCUAGUUAAAUAUAUGAUUUUAGAUAUAAGUUGGAUUAGUUGAGUCACUCAUGUAGUGAAUAUAUCGAGUUACAUAUAUUUUUUCAAAUUCAAAAUGAAGUAUAAUUAUUUUUAUUAUAAUUAAGUCAAAUCAAAUCAAUUUUAUUUAUCAUUUAAAUGUGCAUGUAUUUUCAUAUCAUUUAUCAAAUUAUAUAUUGAUGUUUUUAAAAAAUAUCAGAAUAUAAAGUGAUGAUCAACAAUUACAUGCAUAAGUAGUUGAUACAUUUUUGGAAGAUCAUGAAAACAUAUUAAUAUUUACAAUAAUUAAAAUAUUUUAUAAAUUAUAAAUAACUUUAUGCAUUUGAUUUAUGAAAUGGAGACUGAAAUUUAUUUUAAAUAAUCUUAAAAAUGAGAAUUCAGAUUUGAAUUGGUAUUUUGAUUAUGGUUCUAUUAAGUUCCACAAACAUAAAAACAUAAAAUUUAAAAGAAAAUUUAAUAUUAAGAAAAUAUAUAGCGUUAAUUUUAUCAAAUGAUUUUUUUUUAAAUUAGUUUUUUAAAUCUCUUAAUAAUAAACAGUAAACAAAAUUGUGAUUGUAUUUGAAAAUAAUAUUAUAUAGGUAAAGUAUAGUUUAUUGAUAUUUUUUUGAUGUAAUUGAAAGAUAUUAUAAUCAUCUAAAUAUAUGAAAAAUAAAUAAAAAAUUCAAUAUUACUAAUUAUAAACUAUUUUUAGUCAAUUAAACAUAUAUCAAUAUAUGUUACUUAAUUAUCUUAUGUAAUCAUCUAAGAAAAUAGAUAGAUAUAUAAAAAUAUUUCUAUUACUUUUAAUUUUUUUGUAUUGUUUAAAAUUAUUUUUUAAAAGAAAUAAUAUUUCUUUUUCUAAUAUCAAGAUUAUCUGUGUAAAUUAUUUUUCAUGAAAUCACAUUAUAUACAAAUUUAUAUUUUUCAUCUAAGAAAAUAUAGAUACAAGGAAAAUAUGUUUUUACUUCAAAAGUAUAUUUUAUGUUAUUUAAAAAUAUCUUUUAAAUGUAAUAUUACUAUUUUGGUAACUUUCCCUUUUUAUGAAAUCAUAUUAUAUAUACAUAUAUUUUCGUUUUUCAAUUCAUUUUUUUAACUUUAUAAAUUUUUCUUUUUUAUUAUAUGUAUAUGUUUUUGGAAAAUUUUAAAAAGUAAACUAAAUAAAAAAUAAAUAAUAGUAUUUUAAUGUAAAUUAAUUCAUUAAAAAUAUUAGUGUAAUAAACCAUCGUGAGAGUUAAUGUGAAAACGUCUCAUUUCUCAAAUAAUAUUAUAAAGAUGUCUCAGCUUCUUGGUAAUAAUAUUAGAUAAUCUGAAUGUUUCAUUAUUAAACCACUCCACUCAUCAAAGAUAAACCGAAAUCAUGAAUCUAAGAUGAAUCCAAACGCAGAUGCUGGUAAAAACACACACGAACACGAUGCAUCAAACUAGAUUGUUAUUACUUCUUUUUCUUUCUAGGAGAUUAUUACUUUGUUAAUCUAUAUCUAGCUAGCUCUACCCGCUUUGAACAAAUUCUGGCCGCAACCUAAGCUUAGAAAACGAAUUUGAUAUAUCAAAGCUGAAUAUGGUUGGAGUAAUGAAAACCCUUUUUUUUUUUUUUGGUAAAAUGUUAAAUUAUUAUACCAAUUUUUUUAAGUUUUUGACAGUUAUUACAAAGAAACUAGUAGCGGAAUGCAUAAACUAAACUAAACAACAAACGGAAAGUAACAGUAAAAAGAAACCGAAGCAGUGAAGCUAGCCUAGUAACCAGCAAAGCAUGAUGAGACCAAGCGAGCUAGAACAGUCGAAGAAAAAAUAUCCGGUUGCCAAGAGCUACCGAGAGAUAGGCGCCCUCAAACCUAGAAGCUACGGUUCCUACAGCUUCCGAACAUCCAACCUGACACAGGCUAACCCGAAGAAUCCAAGCACGGACCAACCAAGAAACCCGACAGACACCACCUCCGACGGCACGAGAGCAAUCCUCCACGUGACGAUCCCGUCGUUCAGCAUAUUUCCUCUGAUUGUUGAGUUAUUUUUUUUUUUUGGUAAAAUGUUAAAUUUAUUAUACCAAUUUUUGAUUUUUGACAGAAAUUACAUAGAGACUAGUAGCAGAAUUGCAUAAUUUAAACUAAACACAAACAACAUACAAGUAAAUGAACUCAGGUGAGGCGAGAGCUGAAGUCAAAGCAACGAUAGACAACGAGGCAUGCUCAGACCAGGAAGACGCCUUCCCGACGGUUGCCACGAGCCCGAGAGAAAGGCGCCCUCAAACCUUGAAUGCACGGUGCCUACAGCUUUCUAGAAACCCACCAAACACAAACCAAUCCAAAGAAUCACAAGCACGGACUGGCUCACCACUAGACACGAACUACACCCGGUGACACGAGAUUGCGACACCAUCCGACGAUGCCGUCGUACAAGAGGCAGACCUGAAGAUUGCCGCCUCCAAACCCAACCAACUGUGACCGUGUACACCCAUUGAACCGAAAACUCAUAUAGAGAAAGCGGACCACAUAGAGAUUUACUCUCCAGAGACAGACCUGCAAGAGAAAAGGCAGACCGAGGGCCCAACUACCGCACAUACACUAGAACAGAACCGCACCACCAUAGGAAAACAAUACCAAAGCCACAAACUUUAUUGUGGAAAAAGCGGACAGAACGGAGAUCACACUGUCGAGAUUGCUAAACGGAGGCCCAGAAUUAGAACACCACCAGCGAGACGCCGGAGUUGCCUUAACCACGCCGUCACGACGCCCUGCCACUCGCGCUGCCACCACACACGCGCCGCCGUCAUGCACCUGCACCUCCAAAGCGCGUGUCACUAGAGAACAUCAGGAGCAGAAGCCAAAGCCUCAUCACCACAAUGAAACUCUCACGCCUCCACCAGAUCCACAGUAGAUAAAAGCAGAGAUCUUCAGAUCCGCGAAAUCAUCCAACCAAACCACCGGAACCCUAACACCACCGCUGCGCCACCAACCAGAGGAACACAAGGCUCAGACGAGGCUUCACGACAUCACACUUGAGGAAACACCGAAGGCAGAGAAAAUAAGAACCGGUCAGAGAUACCAUCAGAUCCAAAAGCUAAGCGGAGGGGGGGGGGGAGCAGUCACCGUCCUCUAGCAACGCCACCACCCGGAGCUCGCGUCAAGAUCCACCGAAAUCGCCAGAUCUGAGACCGCUUCAAACCUUAAGGAGAACCACCCCACUGCCGAAGAAAGAGACACAAAUGAGGAGACUAGAAACACACGAGCAUGUAACCAGAGCCCGGCGGUCGCGUAGAGACCGGCCCCCGCCGGAAAACGAAGAGCGAAGUUUGAAACCCUAGCGGCGGCGCUUGUGGAGAGAAGAUGGAGUAUAACGUUUUUUUCUUUUUGCUAAGAAGUAUAACGUAAUUCGUUAUCAAUGAAAACCCUUUUUUCAAAAGAAAAACUAGAAUCGAACCCGUGCAUUAGCGCGGUAAUAUUUAAUUUUAUUAGUAAAUUUAAACUGAUACGAAAUAAGUAGUUAAUAUUUUGUUAAACGUUUUGUGUUAUCAAAGAAAUCUACUUAGAGAUGUUACAUUCGUAUAGACGUCAUGAAAAGCAAAAGAGAAAUACAAUGGCAAAAUGAUACAUGUUUGAGAUUCUGAAUAUGAGAAGAUUUUGGCUAUGGUUGAAGAUCUAUAUAUAUUUUUGAUUUUAGGUUUGAAUAUAUACGUCAUCAGUUUCAAAAUGCCAUAUUUAGUGAAAUUUUCUUUGUUGAUUCUGAUAUCAAAAUCACUGUAAAUAUAAAUAAUAAAUUGUGAAGACAUUAUUGGCGUAUGCUUAAAAUUCUAUGAUCUUAGCUUUAUUAAAAUAUUUUUCAUCUAUAUCAGUUUUCAUUAUUGUUUAUUUUCUUAUCAUUUUAUUCAAUUAGUUUGAAUAGGUUAAAACUUAAAUUUUAUAAAUUUUAUUAUUAUUUUCGCUUAAUAUCUUUCUACAACCGAUUUGUUAUAGAUUUUAAUGUUUCAGUUGUUAAUACUAUCUUUUGAUAUAGUCCAAGGUUUAAAAUUAAAAAGAUAAUCUCAUAGUAUUCAAAUUAAUGUACGAUUUAACAAUAAUUUUAGUGUACUACAUAUAAAAGUAAUAAAAAAAGUGUACUAUAAAAAUAUGGAUGAUGCUUCUCACGGUAAUAUUACUUAUGAUUAUGAAACGCAUAACCAAUUAGACUUAGUUUUAUAUAUAUAUAUUGCUAUUUUAAAAGUGGAAUCAGAUUAUUUACCAAUCUUAUUCUAUAACGUGAAUGAUAUAUGAAGAGUUAAAAGAAUAUUUCAUGUGAAUAUCACUAUUCUCAGUUUGUGUUAAUAAAUCUAAUACCCAAUUUAAUGGUUUGUGUUUAUUAUAUGACGUGAAAAUAAGAGACGAUGGAUUGAGAAUCUAUUUGAUGUAGUCUCCAAUUUUCUGCUUGCAAAAUCCCCUAUAUAUUAAUUGAAGAUCAUUUAAAAAGUUGUAACAUUAAGUUUGUACUAAUUAAAAAGAGAUCAUGCUUAAGUGUCACUUAAUUAGGAUGUCAAUUUAGCUUACGUGAUAUCUUAAGAAUCAAUUGAAAAAAAUGUUGGUCCAAAUUCAAUUACUAGAGAACAUUAUAUUAACCCAAAAUAUACGAAGCGUGUAUUAUUUCCUUAAAUAAAAGCUACAAAAUUACCUAAUAUGAGACAAUUAAUGACUAUGAAUAAUAAAGAUUUGAUAACAAUUUUUGCAUAAUUCUUCAUUUUUGUUUAAUUUUAUAUUAUUGAAAAAACAAGCAAUCACAUUAAACACAUAAUAAAAAAUUAGAUUUUUUUCUUUUAUGUUAUAUUUUGAAUUUUUUAAAAUGAUUUUAAAUUACAAAAAUGAGAAAACUUUAUAUGUUAUAUUUAAAAUUUUUUAAAACGACUUUAAAUUAAAAAAUGAGGAAACCUUAUAUGUUAUAUUUUUUCUUAUAUAUUAUAUUUUGAACUUUUUAAAACGAGUUUAAAUUACAAAAAUGUAAGUUUUUCUUAAUCAUACAACUAAAAGCAUUAAAAUGACAUGUAUUAAUUCGAUGAUUGAUCUAAAAUCUUUCAAAACCAUAUGGAAAAUAAAAUUCAAAAUAAUUCAACUGUGGAAACAGUACUGUUCAUUUUUUCAAGAAUGUGUUCGGUGAAAAAAAAUAAGAUUUUGUGUCAUAAUUUGUUUAAUGUCUAAUCCGAUCAACCCGUGAUAUAUUAAUUAUAGUUUAGUUGUACAGUUUUUAAUAAAAAUUGAUCCGGUACAUCGGAAAAAAAUUAUAUAACAACAACAAAAAUAUUUCAUAUGUAUAAAUAAAAAAAUUAAAUAUAUAAAAAAAGUUAUCGAUAAUAUAUACAAAUAAACUCACCCUGCGCAAGACGCAGGUUUUAUCCUAGUUAGAUGUAUUGGUCGAUUUAAAAAAUUAUGCGUAGCAUAAGUUAGUGUGUAGAUAAUGUAAUCAUAUAAUUAUUUAUUUGUAUGAUUAAGAAUACCCACAUGUGGAUCAAAAUCUAAAUUAAUAUGAUUCUAAAUUAAUCUUAAUUGGACCUUUUAAAUUUUAAAUGACUAACAUUUUAUCAAUUGAUAAAAUAGAAUUCAAAAUAAAUAGAGUAGAUAAUGCUUAAACAUGAUAUAUAUUGUAUAACCAAAUUAUUAAAGAUUUUAUAUUUAUUUUUCAUAAUAGUGAAUAGGUCUAAAUUUAAAUGACAACUUAUUUAAGUAAAUAAAAAAUAGGACUUUAAAUUAAUAGAUUAGAUAAAAAAAAUAUGGUUGGAGUUAUCACGUCACAAUUGCUCAAAGUAUCCGUUGAACAUGAAAAACUGGCAAAUCUGUUGAAUAGUUUUGGAAUGGAUUGGUUCUUCAAUGUCAACUCCUAGCGCCGCUGAUUUUGAUGAAUUCUCCGAGAUUUUCCCAGCAAAAUCAUCAAUGUUGUCGGAGUCUUUCAUCUUUAACCGAUAAAACUUAGCCAUUAACGUUUGAAGUCGUGUCUCCUUUACUCUUUCUGCUCCCAUGUGUCUUGAUUUGAUCGCCUCCCACACCUUUUUUGCUGUAUCAAGUUCUCCAACCUGGAGUAUGAAAGCCUUUGGAAUGGAAUGAAACAACAAGGCCAUAGCCAUGUCAUUCUUAUCACCAUCCGUAGACUCUGUUUCAAUUACUUCCCAAACCUUAUGCACUUUCAACGUUAUCUUCAUUCUCAUAACCCAUACAGUGUAGUUGCUCGAGGUGAGCAUCAGACACUGUAUAAAAGAGGGGCCUUCGCCUUCUUUCCUUCCUAUAACUGAAAUCAGUUCUCCCAUAUCUUCUUCUGAAGCUCUGAUACCACUUAUUGUAUCAAACCUUGAUCACACACACAACCAUAUCACGUUAAGAUCACACACACACAAGUUAAUUAGAAUUCAACUCUUAUUGCUUUCAAAAAUAAUCUCAAAACUAAAGCUCACAACUCAUAAGUUAUACCACACAUUGGUAUCUUCUUAUAUAACUCUUUAUUUAUCCUAAAUUCAUUAGGAAUAAGACACUUAGAUAUUUCUUAAUCUUUAUAGAUAAACAUAACACAAUAGGAUUAGAUAACUUGCAUCACAAGCUAUUUCAAGCUUAUCCAACCAGAGAAGGCUGGUCUCUCUUUUCUCUUUUGCUCCAAAAGAUUACACUGGCAAACCCACGGAGGUCUGUUUUAAGACUCUUACUAGAUUUUGACCCGCGCUUUCAAAGCGCGGGUUUAUUUUUGUUUUUUUUUUCAAUUGACAAAUAUUUAGUAAAUGUCACAUUUUCAUAUAUUUGUGUUUUAUUUUAUAAAAGACUUAAAAAUUUUAUCUUUAUUUAUCGUAUUUCAUUUUAAAUGACUAUUUAUGUUAAAAAAAUUAAACUUUAUUUUUUUAAUGACUUAAGUUGGUAUAGCUCUCAUAAAUUAAUUUUAUUAUGGGGUUAAUAUUUUAAUUAAAAAAUUAUAUACUUUUAAUAAAGAUUUAUACGAAGUUUUAUUUGAAUGAGAAAUGGAGGUCUAAUGUGUGUGAUUUGAAAAACUUGUAUAAAGUAGCAAAUACACACAUUGGAUAUUUGAACUUGGAUUUGAGUUUUUUGAUUUGUUAGUUGGACUUCAUGUUCAUUAACUUAAUCUUAUAAACAAAAUAUAUGUUGAUAUUUUUUAUUGAUAAAAUAUAGAAAAUAAAUUCAUUUUAAAGUAUAUUAUUUAGUUUGAACGGGUCAAACAAAAUAAUUUUACUCUUUAAUUUCUUGGUCAAAAUGUGAAAUAAAUUCACAUCAUAAUUGACAAGAAUUAAAGACAUUUUUUUUACAGCAAACAUUCACAAGAGUCAAUUAGCGCACAAUGGAGGUUUCAUUUUUGUGUUGAAAAAUGAAACUUGUGCUUCUCAUUAUUUUCUAUAAAAUGGUUUGCUAGCAUUACAAAAAUAUACGCAUCAACACCAAAAGAAAAGUUACAUUCUCCUACUUUGAAUAGUUAUGUUACACUACAAGAACGUAAACAUUAUUGAAACCGCUAUGACUGCCCCAGCUAUCUUAGGUCCCCCUUAUAUUAUAGCAUUUUUUACAAUGCUAUAAUAUCGGAGACAUACAAUAGCGUUGUUUUUAGCUUGCUAUGGUUAGUCAAACCUUAUGAUAGCUUUUGUUUUGAACGUAAACAUAUGUUCUGUUAUAGUGAUGUAUCAAUGCUAUAUCUAUUAUCGAUUAUGUGCUAUUAGAACUUGUUCAUAGAAAUAUGUUUUGUUGCUAAUUAUAUUUAAAUAAAAAAAUAUUUUAUAUUUCAUUAAUAAACAAAAAUGUACUUACAUCAGUACCACAAACAUGUCUACAUUUUCAUCAAAUCUUACACAAACAUCAUUACAAAAUCAGAACUAAAUAUAAAGGGACUAAAAAACAUGGGAACUAAAUCAAAACCUUGCUCCUAUUUUCUUCUUGGCCUUAGCCUGUAUCUUACAUCGAAAGAGUAGGGGAUGCACCUUAAUAAUCUCCCGAGCUGGUGUUCCAAGAACCUGUAAAAAACAAUCAGAUGGGUUCAGCUGUUUGUGCUUUUGAAUUAAGAAUGGAUCAUAAGUACACUUCAUAGCCUUUAAGUUUAAGACAUGUAUACUUACUUCUUCUUUAUAACAUACAAGUUAAGGAAUAUAAGAACAUUUUAGAAAUGUCUCACCUUAAGGUUUUCUGCAGUUAGAGCUUUGUCGUCUACGGUGGUAUAAGGCGAUAUAGGUAUUAUACCGACUACCACUGCUGAGAUCAUGCCACAAUACAUAAAACUUCGUUGGUGUGCACAUUUGUCUGAAAAUUCGGCCAUCUUGCCGAGGAACUGUCAAGAACUGGCAAGUGUGCUUCUCGCGAGAGCUUCUCAGCUUCAUUUAGUACCAACACUGACAGAAUCAGAAAGAAACAAACGCACAGCAUUACCUUGAGGACUGAAGAACAACAGUAUCAGUACACGAAUAUGAGUUAAUGAAAAGAGUGGAAUGUUAACAUUACCUCGAGAAAAGUCUUACUAGAGAAUCACUUCACUAUCUUGAAGUCAGAUUCAUUACACAGCACAUAGACGUUUCAAGUCAGAUUCAUUACACAUCGUAGAGAAUCUUCAAGUCAUAAUUUUUAAGGGAAAACAACAACAAAAAAUAAAUCAGAACAUGUAGUUUAAAACCAAAUCUGCUUUAUGAGACAUGCAUAGAAAAAUCGAAAAGAGUAUAAGCAAGUGAAGAGAAGUGAUUCGUACCUUGAGAAUCUGCGACUCUCAUGCUUCUGCCACUCCCAGGAGAGUUCUAGUCUUGAAUCUAAAGAGAAACCAGAGGUGAAUACUGAUAAAAUAUAACUUGUAUUAAAUAAUUGGAGAAAACAGUAACAACAACCCAAAAAGCUCUCAGUUAGUAAGACACGAGAGAUAUGGAGAGAAACAAAUUAAUAGGCAGCAAUGGAGAUUCCUCCCAGAUUCACCACAUUUUGAGAGUAUCUCCAUCCAAAGUUCAGACCUUUAUGUUCAACUCUAGUUGUUAACCGUAAAAGACAGUGAAUAGAGUGUAAGCAAGUGAUGAGAAGUGAUUCCUACCUUUAGGAUCUGCAACUAUCAUUCUUCUUUUUCCUAUUUCAAGGAUCUGCAACAAAGCAAACACAUCAAUAGCAAUCGGAAAGACACCAAAAUACGAAAGAGAAUCAGGUAUCACCUCAGCUUCUUUUUUCCGUCGCGUCUUCUUCCUCGGCCAUCUCCAACACCACUCCGCUUCUUCUUCCGUCAGUCUCCAAAUCCCAAUCAGAAACAAUACCAUCUUUGAUAGGUGACAAGAUCUGGUGAGUCAGAAAAAAUAACUUGCAGUUAACUAAUAACUUCACACAUUUAAUAUUAAAUCAAAAGAGGAAAAAGAUAAUAACCUCCAUAUGAUCCUUGCGGUAAUUCAAGGCUUGAGAUCCCACAUAGAGAUUACGUUUACCCUUCUCCUUUUCAGACUUUGAAUCCUUGGAAUUUGAAUUUGUCUUUGAAGAAUCAACAUCGACAUCCAUAUCCAUUGCCACUACUCCAUCUACUGCCCAAACAACCUUAUGAACACAUGAGAAGAACCCUAAGUUAGUAACUAAUAUGUCUGAAGAAACAAGGGACUAAAACGCAAAUAUAUACAAACACCAAGCUCUGGCGAAAAAAGGAUUGAGCUUUACGGAAGGGAAAACACGGCCUUUGGGAGCAUCUUUGCCGGUGUAGCCAGCCUUGCAAGUGUACGAAUCCAAGGCAAACACUAUAGCUGACACUUCAUCUGUGGAACAAACCCACCAUGGAAAGAUUCAGACUUUAUAACAAGAAUAUCAUCAGGGAGAGGAAAAAGAAGAAAUUCAAGGGUUAGAAGAGAAACCCACCUCCGCCGAACAUGUCUGUUGGAGAGCUAAUCAGAGGGUUUUAACACGGGACAGGGCUCUCUGUAAAUUCGGGGUCAACACAAAACGAAAAUUAGGGUUUGGUACAAACAUCGUCCACCAAAAACACAGAUCUAAAAUAGAAAUUGACUUUUGAGGAAGGAGGGAGGUGAAACAGAGAGAAGAGACAGACUCUGAGAGAGAGAGAGAGAUCGAGAGAAGUUACGGGGAUUAGGGUUUGUUCUCCAGAGAGAGAGAGAGCUCUCCGUCAUUCUAUUUUUUUUUGUUUACUUUCUAUGUGGAGACUAUUUUUUUUACCAUUAAAUAGCUUAAGUGUUACAUUCAAGAGGGAAACAAUUUAGUAUUCGGCGGUUUUCAAAAUUUUCACUAAGUAUAGGUGGUAUGCGUGCUUUUUUAUUCUCACUUGUUAAUUUUUCACUACAGCAUUAAUUUACUGCUAUGAAUAUGUUCCGAAAUCGAAAAAUUUAUCUAUCAUAGCAGUUUGAAAAUCAAUGCUAUCCUACGGUGCUAUCAAUUCCGUUUUUUCUUGUAGUGAAAUUAAUACCUUUUUUAAAUUUUGUGUUUGUGAUUACAACACAAAGUUAGGUUUGACAGAUUCUGUUUUUCAGUGAUGGUAAAUAAAACCAUAUGCAGUUGUAUCAUGUGAAUCUUAACGCUAUGAAACCAUCACACUACGGGCGUUUAAAGAUUUAAGGAAAGAGAUUAACCCUCUUGACUCUGCAAUUCUUCUUUAUUCGUUUACUAUGGGUUGUCUGUGCUUCGUGCAGAAUAUUUUUUUAUUGUUCUUAAAUAUGAUUUUUUGAUGAUAUGAUUAUGUGGUCAGUAUUUAUUUGUGAAGAUCAUUAUUUGAUGUUUUAUUAUGUUAUGUACUAGUAGGUGAUAAGUUAAUAUAUUAUGUGUUUGUCCUUUUAAAAAUGUAUUGUUGUAUGUAUAAUACUACUUGUUAGUGAUGAAGUGAGUUUCUGAUGUAAAACAUAUUGAAUUUUAAUAAGUUUGUAUUUAGGCAUUUUUUUUUUUUUCAAUUGACAAAUAUUUAGUAAAUGUCACAUUUUCAUAUAUUUGUGUUUUAUUUUAUAAAAGACUUAAAAAUUUUAUCUUUAUUUAUCGUAUUUCAUUUUAAAUGACUAUUUAUGUUAAAAAAAUUAAACUUUAUUUUUUUAAUGAAUUAAGUUGGUAUAACUCUGAUAAAUUAAUUUUAUUAUGGGGUUAAUAUUUUAAUUAAAAAAUUAUAUACUUUUAAUAAAGAUUUAUACUUUUCAAUAAAAAAAUUCAAUUAUUUUUAUGAAUGCUUAAAUUAUAUUAAGAAAAGAAAAAAAUAAUAAUUAAGAAUAGUUGAAAAAAAAUUAUUUGAACUUGGACUCAAUGGUCCAAAGGAAAAAAAAAAGGUGAGAAUUGAAUCUGAUUUUUUAAUAGGCCCAAAUGGCCCAAGAGAGAUUUGAUUUGGGCUGGAUCCAAAAAUAAUGACUCAAUAUAGAUUUGUUAUUAAUAUUAUUUAAUUGCCCUUAAUGAAACAUGCAAUGUUAGUGAAGGAAACAUGCCCCUAAGGUAAUUAUGACAAUAGGAUCCUGCUUUAAUAGUAUAGAUACUAUUUAUUCUCUAGUUCAAAUUCAUAUUUGCUGCAAAACUCAAAUUUUGUAUUCAAAUUGCCAGAUUGUAGAAUUUGUUGGAACUAUUUUUUUAACAUUAUGGAUAGUGUAUUUAUAUGUCAAAAAUGAAGUUUUAUUUGAAUGAAAAAUGGAGGUAUGUGUGUGAUUUGAGAAACUUGUAUAAAGUAGCAAAUACACACAUUGGAUAUUUGAACUUGGAUUUGAGUUUUUUGAUUUGUUAGUUGGACUUCAUGUUCAUUAACUUAAUCUUAUAAACAAAAUAUAUGUUGAUAUUUUUUAUUGAUAAAAUAUAGAAAAUAAAUUCAUUUUAAAGUAUAUUAUUUAGUUUGAACGGGUCAAACAAAAUAAUUUUACUCUUUAAUUUCUUGGUCAAAAUGUGAAAUAAAUUCACAUCAUAAUUGACAAGAAUUAAAGACAUUUUUUUUACAGCAAACAUUCACAAGAGUCAAUUAGCGCACAAUGGAGGUUUCAUUUUUGUGUUGAAAAAUGAAACUUGUGCUUCUCAUUAUUUUCUAUAAAAUGGUUUGCUAGCAUUACAAAAAUAUACGCAUCAACACCAAAAGAAAAGUUACAUUCUCCUACUUUGAAUAGUUAUGUUACACUACAAGAACGUAAACAUUAUUGAAACCGCUAUGACUGCCCCAGCUAUCUUAGGUCCCCCUUAUAUUAUAGCAUUUUUUACAAUGCUAUAAUAUCGGAGACAUACAAUAGCGUUGUUUUUAGCUUGCUAUGGUUAGUCAAACCUUAUGAUAGCUUUUGUUUUGAACGUAAACAUAUGUUCUGUUAUAGUGAUGUAUCAAUGCUAUAUCUAUUAUCGAUUAUGUGCUAUUAGAACUUGUUCAUAGAAAUAUGUUUUGUUGCUAAUUAUAUUUAAAUAAAAAAAUAUUUUAUAUUUCAUUAAUAAACAAAAAUGUACUUACAUCAGUACCACAAACAUGUCUACAUUUUCAUCAAAUCUUACACAAACAUCAUUACAAAAUCAGAACUAAAUAUAAAGGGACUAAAAAACAUGGGAACUAAAUCAAAACCUUGCUCCUAUUUUCUUCUUGGCCUUAGCCUGUAUCUUACAUCGAAAGAGUAGGGGAUGCACCUUAAUAAUCUCCCGAGCUGGUGUUCCAAGAACCUGUAAAAAACAAUCAGAUGGGUUCAGCUGUUUGUGCUUUUGAAUUAAGAAUGGAUCAUAAGUACACUUCAUAGCCUUUAAGUUUAAGACAUGUAUACUUACUUCUUCUUUAUAACAUACAAGUUAAGGAAUAUAAGAACAUUUUAGAAAUGUCUCACCUUAAGGUUUUCUGCAGUUAGAGCUUUGUCGUCUACGGUGGUAUAAGGCGAUAUAGGUAUUAUACCGACUACCACUGCUGAGAUCAUGCCACAAUACAUAAAACUUCGUUGGUGUGCACAUUUGUCUGAAAAUUCGGCCAUCUUGCCGAGGAACUGUCAAGAACUGGCAAGUGUGCUUCUCGCGAGAGCUUCUCAGCUUCAUUUAGUACCAACACUGACAGAAUCAGAAAGAAACAAACGCACAGCAUUACCUUGAGGACUGAAGAACAACAGUAUCAGUACACGAAUAUGAGUUAAUGAAAAGAGUGGAAUGUUAACAUUACCUCGAGAAAAGUCUUACUAGAGAAUCACUUCACUAUCUUGAAGUCAGAUUCAUUACACAGCACAUAGACGUUUCAAGUCAGAUUCAUUACACAUCGUAGAGAAUCUUCAAGUCAUAAUUUUUAAGGGAAAACAACAACAAAAAAUAAAUCAGAACAUGUAGUUUAAAACCAAAUCUGCUUUAUGAGACAUGCAUAGAAAAAUCGAAAAGAGUAUAAGCAAGUGAAGAGAAGUGAUUCGUACCUUGAGAAUCUGCGACUCUCAUGCUUCUGCCACUCCCAGGAGAGUUCUAGUCUUGAAUCUAAAGAGAAACCAGAGGUGAAUACUGAUAAAAUAUAACUUGUAUUAAAUAAUUGGAGAAAACAGUAACAACAACCCAAAAAGCUCUCAGUUAGUAAGACACGAGAGAUAUGGAGAGAAACAAAUUAAUAGGCAGCAAUGGAGAUUCCUCCCAGAUUCACCACAUUUUGAGAGUAUCUCCAUCCAAAGUUCAGACCUUUAUGUUCAACUCUAGUUGUUAACCGUAAAAGACAGUGAAUAGAGUGUAAGCAAGUGAUGAGAAGUGAUUCCUACCUUUAGGAUCUGCAACUAUCAUUCUUCUUUUUCCUAUUUCAAGGAUCUGCAACAAAGCAAACACAUCAAUAGCAAUCGGAAAGACACCAAAAUACGAAAGAGAAUCAGGUAUCACCUCAGCUUCUUUUUUCCGUCGCGUCUUCUUCCUCGGCCAUCUCCAACACCACUCCGCUUCUUCUUCCGUCAGUCUCCAAAUCCCAAUCAGAAACAAUACCAUCUUUGAUAGGUGACAAGAUCUGGUGAGUCAGAAAAAAUAACUUGCAGUUAACUAAUAACUUCACACAUUUAAUAUUAAAUCAAAAGAGGAAAAAGAUAAUAACCUCCAUAUGAUCCUUGCGGUAAUUCAAGGCUUGAGAUCCCACAUAGAGAUUACGUUUACCCUUCUCCUUUUCAGACUUUGAAUCCUUGGAAUUUGAAUUUGUCUUUGAAGAAUCAACAUCGACAUCCAUAUCCAUUGCCACUACUCCAUCUACUGCCCAAACAACCUUAUGAACACAUGAGAAGAACCCUAAGUUAGUAACUAAUAUGUCUGAAGAAACAAGGGACUAAAACGCAAAUAUAUACAAACACCAAGCUCUGGCGAAAAAAGGAUUGAGCUUUACGGAAGGGAAAACACGGCCUUUGGGAGCAUCUUUGCCGGUGUAGCCAGCCUUGCAAGUGUACGAAUCCAAGGCAAACACUAUAGCUGACACUUCAUCUGUGGAACAAACCCACCAUGGAAAGAUUCAGACUUUAUAACAAGAAUAUCAUCAGGGAGAGGAAAAAGAAGAAAUUCAAGGGUUAGAAGAGAAACCCACCUCCGCCGAACAUGUCUGUUGGAGAGCUAAUCAGAGGGUUUUAACACGGGACAGGGCUCUCUGUAAAUUCGGGGUCAACACAAAACGAAAAUUAGGGUUUGGUACAAACAUCGUCCACCAAAAACACAGAUCUAAAAUAGAAAUUGACUUUUGAGGAAGGAGGGAGGUGAAACAGAGAGAAGAGACAGACUCUGAGAGAGAGAGAGAGAUCGAGAGAAGUUACGGGGAUUAGGGUUUGUUCUCCAGAGAGAGAGAGAGCUCUCCGUCAUUCUAUUUUUUUUUGUUUACUUUCUAUGUGGAGACUAUUUUUUUUACCAUUAAAUAGCUUAAGUGUUACAUUCAAGAGGGAAACAAUUUAGUAUUCGGCGGUUUUCAAAAUUUUCACUAAGUAUAGGUGGUAUGCGUGCUUUUUUAUUCUCACUUGUUAAUUUUUCACUACAGCAUUAAUUUACUGCUAUGAAUAUGUUCCGAAAUCGAAAAAUUUAUCUAUCAUAGCAGUUUGAAAAUCAAUGCUAUCCUACGGUGCUAUCAAUUCCGUUUUUUCUUGUAGUGAAAUUAAUACCUUUUUUAAAUUUUGUGUUUGUGAUUACAACACAAAGUUAGGUUUGACAGAUUCUGUUUUUCAGUGAUGGUAAAUAAAACCAUAUGCAGUUGUAUCAUGUGAAUCUUAACGCUAUGAAACCAUCACACUACGGGCGUUUAAAGAUUUAAGGAAAGAGAUUAACCCUCUUGACUCUGCAAUUCUUCUUUAUUCGUUUACUAUGGGUUGUCUGUGCUUCGUGCAGAAUAUUUUUUUAUUGUUCUUAAAUAUGAUUUUUUGAUGAUAUGAUUAUGUGGUCAGUAUUUAUUUGUGAAGAUCAUUAUUUGAUGUUUUAUUAUGUUAUGUACUAGUAGGUGAUAAGUUAAUAUAUUAUGUGUUUGUCCUUUUAAAAAUGUAUUGUUGUAUGUAUAAUACUACUUGUUAGUGAUGAAGUGAGUUUCUGAUGUAAAACAUAUUGAAUUUUAAUAAGUUUGUAUUUAGGCAUUUGUUGAUUUUAAGAUUAACGACGUCAAAAUUGUAUUUUAGUAUUUCACAUUUUUGAACAUUACUCUUUUUCCCUGUUCUAAAACGCAGACGCCUAGCCGAUUAGGUGCCUGGCUCGGUGCUCGGCGGCAAGCAACCACGACGAAUAGGUCCAAUACGACUCUACUACUCGGUUGACCAACUAAUCGGUCAAUUAACCGGUUUGGAACCGAUUUUUAACCGCCUAAAACACCAAACAAAUUUAAACUACUGGGCUUCUGGUGGACAUGUAAUUGAAAACCAGAUGCAAUUUUUGAAGCCAACCCUGAAUGACUACUUAUAGGCAUCUUCAUCAGCUUCCCUCUUUAUAGUUUACCGAUGUGGGACUCUAUUUCAUGUGUUUCUAAAACUCUUUUUACCUAAAAUUGAAAAAGUACUACCCGAGGUUCAAACCCAGUACCUUAUACAGCAUCAACAUCAUCGAACACCAAUACACCAAGGCGUGUUUUGAUGUUUAGGCAUAUAUUUCCGUAUAUAUAAACAUUGUUUCAACAAAAAAUAAAAAUAUGACACUUACCUUUGCUAAUAAUUAACUUUUGUUAAACAAAAUAAAUAUAAAUUUUGAUAAUAACAUACAAAAAACUAUUACAUUCUACUAUAUUUAUAUAAUAUAUUUAAUUUAAAUAUUAUAAUAAAUAAAAUAAUAAUAAAACUAGUCCUCGCGUAUACCCUGAGUAAUCCCCGAGUUUUUGAUAAUUCGCUAGGCCUGAGACUGCCGCCCGACUAGCGCCUAGCGUAGUUCCGAACAUGGCUCUUUUUAGGUGUUUUUUGCACUCUCCCCCAUCUUUUGACCUUGAGCCAUCACCAUAUAUGUAUUUUGUUUACCUCUCCGGUGUGCAGUGAUUCUCACUAUCACUGGGAAAAGACUCACAUCCGUGCUCUUGUUUUUCCUCACCUUUUUUUAGUGAGAUUAUCUGAUAUUUGUUAUAGAUCAGACAUAUUAGUUUCAUGUUGUGGGGUUUUUUCUUACGGCGUUGUAUGUUAUUUCGGUCAAUAUUGGUCCUCUUUUUCCUUAGGUUUUGGCUAAGGUUAGAAACUACAUCUCGUUGGGUUGGGUCAGAGUUUAGUUGUCAUUGAUGUUGUUUUCUUCGUCGCUGGUUUACCGUCAAUAGUCUCUGCUCGUCUUGGUUUUCAAGCUCGGGUUUUUGGUGAUCUGACUUCUAUGCACUUUUUCAUAGUUCGAGGAUGGCUCCACGGUUUGUUGAUUUCAUUUUGUCUCCUUUUAUCUAAUUGUUCUCUCAUCUCGUUGCACCUUUCAUCGCUGAUCAUGUCUCUUGUGGCUCUCCCUUUCGCCAUAUUUGCUACUCCGUGUUUUGAUAGUGUUUUUCUCUGUGUAUGCUUUGUACGCUUGGAAGGUUGUUUAUGGUCUCAAGCUUAAGCUUUGGUUUCUCGGUGGUUGGCUUCCAUUCUCCCCCACUCAGGUUGUUUAUUUUCUUCUCAUGCAUCUUUUGGUGUAGGUGUGCGGAGUUAGUCUUUUAGAUUUUUGGUUUCUUCUAUUCAGAGUUUUGUGGUUCUUCGCUGGUAUGAGCGCCUUGUAUGUGUUUGUUUAGUUUGUGAGGUGCUUCUUAUCUUUUAGCUGGUAGUUGUGUUUCCGGUGCUUUAGACAUACGGUUUUUUUUUUUGUGGUGACUUUGUUUUUCCAAUGAUUAUUCUUUAUCUGGCCCGCUUUUUUAGUUUUUUUUGCGCUGGUGCUUGAUCUCGAUCAUUUGUGUUCCGAGGAUUACUUUAUCUCAUAUUUUAUCUUUUUACAUUUUUCUUAAAUCUGUUUGUUCUAGUGAAGACAUUCUAUGGUAAGAUGAAAUAUGUUAGUGUUCUUUGUUGAUCUUUUUUCAGCUUCAAAUCUUUAUUGAGGUAGUGUUACUAUGAUAUUUUACUUUUUCUUUCUGACUGUGGAAGGUUUAUGUCUAGAUUAUGUAUUGCACUCUAGUUUCUUCUUAUUAGUUUGGUCAUUUUAUAUUUUUAAUAGUUAAACAAAUAUAUAAUUUGUAAAUUAAAUAAUAGAAAAUGGCAUAAAAUAAUAAAAUAAAAAACUAUGUUAUAUUUAGUUUUGAAUAAAUUAAAUGUGUAAAAUAUAUUUCUAUUAUUUUAUUUAUUUCUUUAUUCAUCUUGAAUUUUAGUGAACAAUAAAAUAGAUUAUCAAACUUCAUACGAUAAUAGUUAGUGCGAAAAUGAUUAGGUAGUUCAUGAUUAGAAUUAGAAAUACUUGGCCAAAUUGCAAUAAUGUAAAAGAAGAAGAACCUAAAAUGUAAAAAAAAAUACAUGGAUGACACGUGUCGGAAAAAUCUCCUGCCACUUGUUAGAAGAAUGGAAAAAACUAACUUUAUAUAUAUUAAACAAAUAUAUAAUUUGUAAAUUAAAUAAUAGAAAAUGGCAUAAAAUAAUAAAAUAAAAAAACCAUGUUAUAUUUAGUUUUGAAUAAAUUAAAUGUGUAAAAUAUAUUUCUAUUAUUUUAUUUAUUUCUUUAUUCAUCUUGAAUUUUAGUGAACAAUAAAAUAGAUUAUCAAACUUCAUACGAUAAUAGUUAGUGCGAAAAUGAUUAGGUAGUUCAUGAUUAGAAUUAGAAAUACUUGGCCAAAUUGCAAUAAUGUAAAAGAAGAAGAACCUAAAAUGUAAAAAAAAAUACAUGGAUGACACGUGUCGCAAAAAUCUCCUGCCACUUGUUAGAAGAAUGGAAAAAACUAACUUUAUAUAUAUAGAUUUUAGUAUUGUAAUUUUAAUUUUUGUUUUUAUUAUUUUUACAAAUAUCAAUUGUCCUUAUUGCAGUAAAAUAUGGUUCAUAUACUCUUAAAUCUUAAAAUAUUAUUUAUGCUUUCGCACUAACAAUACUGAUAUUUGUUAAAGUAUUUUUUUUCUUAAGAGCAGGUUGAUCUAUGUUCGAAACAGGUGCCAGAAUCAAUUUGGAUCUGUUGUUGCGUCAAGUUUUCUUAUCAUCACGCUUACAUUUUUUUUUUUUGCAUGAUCCGUUGAAUUAUAUAAAUUAAUUCGUAUGAUUCUCUGCAAUUUAUUAUAAUUGCAUAUGGCAAUAUCUCUCCGUUUACUAAAGCUUGUUUAGGUUUAUGAGAAUAGUAUGCAAGAUUCUCUCUGCUUAUUGGUUUAGAAUAAGCAAAUUUUGUGAUUUUAUGAAUUGCAUAUGAUUAUUGGCUUCUAGUUUUCUGAAGUUGAUUACUAAUCAGGCGUUUAUGAUGUCGAGAACUUAAACUUUUUGUUUAAUUUACAAGCACAUAAAGAUGAUUAAAUAAAAGCGUUAUUUCUCAUAUGUUAAUGCUUUGACUGUUUGAUAAUAUCAAGAACAAGUAACAAUUUUUGUUUUAUUGUUACAGAUUCUUUGGUGGAAAAUGAAAUAACUUAAUUUAAUUAUGAAGCACAUAUUUGACCAUGAGAGAAAAUUUUCUUUUUAGCUCCAAUGGUAAAAUAUACCAAUGUUUGGUCCUUAUGGGAUCAAGUACUACGGAUGAAAAUUGAUUUUGUGAGUGGACCCCCCAAAUUAAGUUUGGGAAAUAUCUGCCACAUAUAAAUCAUUUACCAUACGAAAUAAAAUGUGUUGAUACUAAUAAAAACAUUUAUAUUUCGUUGUUGCUUAAAUGCAAGUUGUAAAAAGAUUGACCAUGCAAAAACAAUGAGAAUUCUAAAACCAAUAUGACUGGAACUGACAUGUAUAUUGUAGUUUAUAAAAUCAAUAUAGUUGAGAAUAAUCAUAUAAAAUGGUGGUUUUGAUGGUACAAAAAGAAUAUUUUGUAAUGAUAUGUAUAUUUUCUAAAAAAAUAAAAAUAUGUUUUGGAAAAAUAAAAAUCAUAUAUAAGUUGGAUUAAUUAAUCAACUUAAGAGAACUUUGAAAAUAAUUAUAUGAAAAUAUGAAUUUCUAAGAAUGAAACACAUUUUUAAGAAAAUUGUAAUAAUUUUCGAAAUUCCUUUUUUUAUUUAAAUCUAAAGGAGCUGUAGAUUGACUUUCUAAACUCUUAAGAGAUGUUAAAUGCAUAUAUGCAUAUUUUGAGUUAUCUCAAGAAAUGUGGAGGAAGUUUUGCUUACCAUAAAGUUGUUGGCAAAAGCCCAAAUGAACUUAGGGGGAUAUGAACUUAGGGGGAUGUAUUGAAAUGUGGAUUUUAAAAGUUUGGGUGGAUUUGAAAAAAUAUUGGAGUUUGAAGAGAUUUGGGUUAAAUCCCAAAACGAUGGGUGGGAUUUAAAAAAAGGAAAAUAGAUUUGGAUAGGAUUUUUUAAAAAUUUCAGAGUACUUGAGAUCAUUUGAACUUAAAUUUCAGAGUACUUUUCAAAGUCCAAUUAUUUUAAAACAUGAAGUAAUCACUAUUUUUUCCAACAGAGUAAAAACGUGAAAUUUCAAUAUUUUGUCUUCUUCCUUCGUUUGUGAGAACGAGAGAGAGAGAGAGAGCUAUAGAUCAAAGUUUGCAGAUACUCUUCCAUAUCCAACUUUCUGAGGUUGACUCAUCGAGAUCCCAAAAACAAGAAGAUCCAAUGGCAUAUUACAUAAUCAAUUUGUCUUGUACUUCUUCCAAUUCAAUCUCUGCAACAAGUUUGAACAGCAGUCUCUUGACAAUAAUCAAGAAAGCUACAGAACUUACUAAAAGCCAAUAUAAUAGAUCAAAAUUGUUUAUCAAAAAACCAAAUUCAUAAACCACAACAUGAAAGAUAAAUUUAAAAACAUAGUAGCAGAGAUAACAUCUAAAAACAACGUAAACUGUUGCUGCAUCAAGAUCCCAUAUGCAUAGCAUCUGUCCACAUGGUUGCUGCUAUAUUUGCUCUCCAAUUAUUAGCAUUCACUCUUUGUUGUUCUUGAGUGCCAUUUUGAACAUCAUCAUCCAUGUUCUCAUCUUCACCUAUUUCUUGAACAUCACUUUCAUUAUCAUCAGCGACAACAACUUCUUCAGGAAACACGUCUGAACGACAUUCUUUACGAAGAUAAUUAUGUAAAACAACACAUGCAAGAACUAACUCUGCUUGUGUUUUAUAUGGAAAUGGUGGAGCAGAUUUGAAGAUGAGGAAUCUUGACUUAAAGAUGCCAAAAAUUCUCUCAAUCACAUUUCGCAAGGAUGAAUGACGAUGAUUGAACAACUCAUUUUGAUUCACAGGAUCUUUGCCUUGUCCCCUAAAAUCUUGAAGAUGAUAGCGAGUACUUCGAAAUGGAGCCAGAAAAUUACGACGAUUGGCGUAUCCACAGUCGACUAAAUAGAAUUUUCCUGAAAUCAUAUAACAUAUACAAAUAAUUUUAAGAAAAUACAAAAAUAACACAUCAAUAUUUUAAUCAUAAGAACCAGACAUACCUUCUGGAACUUGUAAUCUGUUAGAAUUUCUUGUUAAAGCAUCUUGUAAUACUUUAGCAUCAUGAGCUGAACCUUCCCAUCCACUAAGAACAUAUAUAAAUUCUAAAUCAAAAUUGCAUGCAGCUAAAACAUUUUGUGAUAGUUGUCCUUUUCGAUUGCGGUAGCUAGAUGAAUCCUUUCCACUUAUCAUCGCAAGAAUAUGUGUUCCAUCAAUAGCUCCUACACAAUCCUAAUAAAAUAUAGAAACAUGUAAAUUUUUUUGCGGUAUUUAAAAAAUGCAUAAGAGAAGAACUACAUGUACCUUAAAAUAAGGAUAGAAUCGUGUGCUAUCUCUUAUCUUUGGAGGCACUGUUGUUUCAGGCUUGGCCAUGUAACUUGGAGCAAGUGCGUUUAACACUUUCAGAAUUGUAUGAAAACUCGUACUUAUUGAGAAUCUUGACCUCUUGAAUCUAUCUUGAGCCUGAAUAUACCUUGAGUUUUGACCAACAAUGAACAAAAAGGUGGCUAGCAUUUCUUCAACUGAAACAUAUCUUGUAUCUUUUAAUCCCAUCUUUACUCUUAUAAUAGAGCAUAACUUCAAAAACACAUCCGGAUACAUACGAUAUAGAUGUCGAAAAUGUUUAGGAUCUUCAACCAAAGCAUUUUGUAUGUAUUCAUGUCCAAGUGUUGUAGUUGAUCUUCUAAUUUCACGUUGUAUUUGUGGAAUACGUGAAGCGACAUUACGUACCUUCACAAUGAUAGAAAAGACCAGUAAGAGAAUAUCAACGUCUAUCUUGAAAUUUGACAUCUUUUUUCUCUUUUUCCUAACUUGUAUCUCUUCAUUUGCAUUAACAAUAUGAGCCAUUGAAAUCUCUGCACAAAAACAUAAAUAACAAGUCAUAAGAAACUGUCUAAUUGGUGAACAAAGUGUGAAAUAAUGCUAGAUACUCACGUAAUAUAAAGCGGCGGUGAUGAACUUUAGCUAGAGAAGAAGAGGACAAAUAAAUAAGGUUACACAAAUCAUUAAGGAAUCGUAUCCUAACGAAUUAGCCGCCAAAUUUAGCCGCCAAAAUCAAUGUUUACUUUGAACAGAAUAUACUACUUUCCUAUGUAAAAUAUAAUUAUACCAUUGUAGGAGAAAACAAGAAGAUAGUGUCGUAUAUAAAUAAAUAAAACUAGACCAUUGUAGUAAAAAAAACAAAAACCAUAACAUAUAAAGAACAAAAAUCAUAACAAUUCUGCAAAGAAGAAACAAAACCAUAGCUAAAGUAAUAAUAAAAACUCAACUUUAAAGAAAUAAAAACUCCAAGAUGACGAACUAUCUUUAGAACUCCGAUCAUGUUACUUCAGCCACUUGGUUUACGGAGAUUUCUUUUAAUCCAUCCACAACGAUCUGUUAUGGACAUAUUCACGAAACCAGAUUUCAUGCCUAAGGUGUGAACAAGGGUCAUCGCCUCAUAACGCAAAUCAUCAUCCAAGUCAGGAAUUUCCUUGAUAGCAUCCCAAACAUUGUUAGCUUUGUCUUCAGCUUCUUUUUCUUCAGCUUCCUUCACCCAUCUUUUCUGAAUCAUGUCAAAAAUUUGGCUACUGAUUUCUGUAACUUCCUCACAAACCCUUUCCGAGUUAUAUGCAUCCGUCCUAGCUUUCUUUCUAUGUGAAAGCUUUUCUCCAAUGCUUUUUCUUGAUGAAGGUUCACAUGUUUGCUGGUGUUCUAUUCCUCCUCCCUCAUCUAUCACGUGGACAAAAUCAUUAUCAUUUGUCUUCUCGUUCUCUUCAAAUUGAUAGGAUCCUGCAUCAACAGAAUCACCUAGUCCCACAGCAUUCUGCCCCGUUGCAGUAUUCUGUUCAAAUAUAGUCCUUAGCUCUUCAAAAUCUUCAAACGAAUCAUCACGCAGAUAUUUAUUAUUUGGAUGAGCCUAUUAAAAAAAAGAUCACUAUAAUAAGAAUCAUAUGUAAACAACACCAACAUAAGCAUGAAUUUCAUAUUAUAAUUUUUUACCUGCAGAUAGACCUUCCAUACUUCAUCAUCUGCUGUGAAUUUUUUCGUUUCAGAGUCCCACCCAAAACCAGAACUACAACGAAGAAAAUCUGCAAACACUUGGUACCUACCCUUCAAGAUUUUCAUCCUAUUUUUAUACUGACCGUAGGUUUUUUUAGAUCCAACUUCUUGUUGUAGAGUUGUUAGUAUUCUGGAUUCGACCGUCAGUUUGUUGAAUUUGCCGCUGGCAUCACGAAAACCUUGAUUGAUUGCAUCCACUAGUAACCUCAAUAACAACUUGUGCUCAGGUCCAGACCAUGAGUGGUAUUGACCUUUACCUUUUACGUCUUUUGGAUCUCCCAUUGUUUGGAAGGUAACUAGUCAUAUAACAACACAAGAUUAUAAGAACCAAGAUAAUAAAUCUAUAGUCUUUGUAAAACCAUAUCUAAAAUAGUGAAUUAACAGGUUUUAUAUUGAUCGUCAAAAGACUCAAACCCAUAAAAGGAACAAUAUUCAAAGACAAACAUCAUCCAAAUUCAUGAAACUAAACAAAAUAAUGAAACCAAUCUGAAACUACACAUUCCAGUAAGCCAAAGUGAUGAAAAAGAAUACUCACUUUGACAAAUAAAAGAGAUGAUUGAUGCUCGUAUCCUAUCAGUUUUGUAAGCUCUUCUCCAUGUUACUGAUUUUAUAUAUAUGUGCAUACCUACCUAAACCCUAAUUAAACAACUAAACGAAAAAAACCCAUCUUAUUAUUCAAUUUUCUAAGGAGCAGCCCAUAAAGAUAUCAACAAGAAGCAUAUUUAUCCACAACAAAAAUUAGAAAAUCAGCAUUGCGUGCCUUGGCUUGCAUACUUGUCAAGCAGUACCUUAGCUUGCAUACUUGGAAGGACAGAACCAAAGCUCUAAUCUACUACCUUAGCUUUCAUACUUGGCAAGCAGUCUCGUAGAAGAAUACUUCCUCAAGCUUUUGAGUUUGGAGAGUUGAAGCAAAGAUUAUUUGGGUGAACCAAAGCUGUAGAAAAAAUAGAGAAGCAAAGAGAGUCACGAUCAAAAACCUAACAUAGUUUUCAAGCUCACAAACAUUAGUUGACCAUAGAGUAGAACAUGAAAAGAACAAAUAAACUUUACUAGACUUGCUUAUACUCUUCAGGAUCAAAAGGUUUGUUGUCAAAAUAUUCUCUGUCUUUUGUGUAUAACAUGGGAUUUUAAAAACAGAACCAAAACAGAGAAGAUUUUGACAACAUACCUUUUGAUAGAACACCAAAGGAACAAAUCAAUCGACGUGUGCCUUAGCUCAACCUCAGAUUCUUCAGAGCACAAAAACUUUUUCUCGGAUCCAACGAAAAGCUCGAGACGAAAUCAAAUCUAACAAUCAAAGGGCUCCCUUCAGGUUUGAGAGACUCCAAAAUCGAAUCUUUGGCUUCCAAAAUUGUCCACUUGGGUAUUGAUUCAUGAACAAGAGGGAAUCGAAAGUUCAGUACUUUUCUGGAAAGCUUCGUCUCUGAUCUCUCGCUUCCUUGUUCUCUCUCUGUUCUCAUAGGUGUGGUCAAUUUUUUAUUUGAUUUUGGGUAUUUCCAAAUAACAGGUACAAUGGUGGGAUUUGUGUAACGAUAGUUUUGACUGAAAAUAACAAAAAAAAUAGUUUCAAAUCCAUUUCAUAAAGUUUUUCUUUUAAAAUUGUUUAUCAUUGAAUAACAGUAGAUUUGAUUUACUUUUGGUAAAUUGUUAAUUGAAUAACAGUGGAUUACAAGUGAUUUAAGCUACUUUAGAUAAAUGUCAUAUUCAAUAACACAGGAUUUGAAGAAAAAAAUAUAAAUCAUUAGUUGAAUAACAGGAAAUUUUAAAGAAAUACCAAAACACUUUAAAAUACUCAAUUCAAUACACUCCCCUUAGUGAUAGUUAUCGCAAUAUGAUUUUUAAAAAAAAACUAGUGUCAUACACUGAGUUUUGUGUAUAAUGGUUAAUCUACUUUAUUAAAAUAGAAGUACUAAUAAAAAAAUACCAUAAGACUUACAACUUAAUUACAAUACAAUGCCAUUGAAGUAAUUAAUAAAUUUAAAUCUAAAUUAAUUUUUUUCCCUAAAUCUAUUCCACAACAAAUUCAUGAUAAAUAUUACAGUUAAUGCACAUUAAUACUAUAAACCUUAAUAUGUAAAGUAGAAAACUUCUUUCCAUAAAUUCGUGGGUAUUAUCAUCUAUUAAUAACUUUUAUUAUAUUUUUCAAAAUUUUAUUGUUAAUGAAAUCAAUUAACAAUAUUUAAAAAAUUUAAAGGAUAUGCCGUAUUGGGAAUAAAAACUUAAUAAUGAGAACAUAUUUAAAAAGAUCUAUUUUAGUUGAUAAUUCUAAAUUUAUACCUAAUUAAAAUUUUCAAAUAACCAAUUUGACUAAUCUAUUUAAUUGACGAUAUUGUUUUAGAUAUAUAUAACUAAAAUGCUAUUAGAAAAUUAUUUUAAAAUUAUGUAUGAUAUUACAUAUGUUCAAUUGAAUUUUACCUUAAAUUAGUUUUCUUUAGUAAGGAUUUGAAUUAUUAGAUUUGGUAAUAACAUGUACAUUUAAGUAUUAGUAUAAAAAAAAUUAAAAACACCUAAGAUUUUUCUUAUGAGAAAAUUGUAAUAGGUAAAGUUUCAAAAGAAUAUUCUUCAAGUUUUCUAUGUAAAGAAAAACAUUUAAACAAGAUAACAAUGUUCUAAAAAAAAAGUUCAUAUAAAAUAAAAAUCCUACAUAUAAUAAAAUGUUAAAGUCAAUAAGUUACAAUAAAAUUAAUUUGAUAAUAAUAUAAAUACAAGAAAUGUAAUUACUCAUUCUACCAAAUUACUCAUUUUAAUAAGUAUAAUAUAAAUAUUUUACUAAAAAUGCAUGACGAAUAUUUAUAUAUCAGGUUGAGAAAUUAAAAAUUAAGACUACUUAUAUAACGGGUUGAAAAUUUAAAUAUAGUUAUCAUUUAUGACCAAAAACCUAUCAAAACAUCUCAAAUAUUAUUUUCGCAUAUGUAUUUUAGUUUUUUUUUUAAAAAUCCAGGUAAUCCGGACACCCCGGAGGGAACCCGACUAGCGCCUAAGUACACCUCCGUAGAAGGCAUCCUGGAGGGCCGCCUUUUUCACCCCAUUUUAAUCGACGGUGGCCAGCGGGAUUCGAACCCGAGUCCGUAUUGGGGCCAAAGCUCCCUCAAGACCACUGGACCGUCCUCGCUUGGUUUAUAUAUUUUAGUUUAUGGAAAACACAUACAUAAACUAAAAAUAAACUAAAAUAUAUAUUUUAAGUAUUAUGCAUAAUGUCAUAAUAAAAAAAUACAUAAUAUGUGAAAAAAUAAAUAUGUAUUAUAUUAUUUAUAGAAAACAAAAAUAUAUUUCUAAAAAAUGAAAAAGUGGUUUCUCUUUUUUACUCGGAACUCAAAUGUUGUAAAUAAUUCUUUCUAACCGCGUAUCAAACCCGACCAAUGAAAGGCUACCAGCAUUUCCUUUACCACUAGCCAACUCGGUAUCAAGUAAAUAAAAAUGAUAUCAGUUAAAUAAAAAUAAAUAUUCGCGUGAUAUUUACAUUUAAAGUUAUAUAAAUCAUUUUACUUUUGCUAUUACUGUAAUUAUGUAACAACAAUAUAUCUAUUAUGUGAUGUAUUUUUGUCACCAUUUUAUUAUCAUUUCUAUAGAUUAUAUAAUGGUGUACAAAUAUCUAGUUACAUUACGUAAACAAAAAAACACCCGUCCGGUCGGGCGGAUCCAGCUCUAGUUGUAUCUUUAAAAAAGAUGAUAAAAAUCAUUAGACAAUUGAUCUCGACUAAUCUUAAGCGAUUACGUUCACUUUGAUGACAACGUAGGAUCCUUUUACUAAAGGUGUGUCAUGAGAUCAAAUUGUUAUAUCAUCAAAAGGAAUGGGUAGCCUGUGAAUUAAAAUGAGGUUUGACAGUAACUCUACCUAACUGACUGGAGAUCCCAAGAAAUAGGUUAAAUGAGACUACUAAGUCAAACUAAAUCUACACAAAGUAUUGUAAGACUUCGGUCUAUACUCAGUUACUAUGAUGAUUAAACAGUGGUACAUGUAAGGAAUAGAGGAUAAACAUUUGCUUUUAAUGAUUUGUGUCUAUUAUUUUGAAAUAUGAAUGGAGUAGUACAUGAUACUCCUCUAAACAAAACUAAUGACAAAUCACCUUGUGAGUGUGAAAUGGGGCCGUUUCUAGGAGAAUGAAAAAAAUGUUAUAUUCUCCAAGUUCACUCAUGAUUAAUCAGGACUGUUCACGACCAAAAUGAACACAACAGAAAACCUAAUUCUGUGAGAGAAUAAAGUUGUGUUAUAACUAUUGUCUAGGUUUACACCAAAGCAUGGGAGGUUCAAGACAUCAUGGCCACCUCAUGGCCAAGUAAAUCCGAUAGCUAUUAACAAUGACUGGUUCAAGUCUGAAAAAUUGCUACCAACUCAUCAUCCAAUGGAUUUUUCGUUUGUACUCUCAAAAGUCUUUAGUUGAGUCUAGGCCUUGGCGUUUGGUGGUCCGUUCGGUUUCGGUCCGGGUGAUUCGGAUUUUUGGAUUUUCGGUGUUAUGCUCAUAAGUACCAUUCGGUUUUUACUAAUUAUCGGAUCGGGUUCGGUUCGGUUCCUUCCGGGUUCGGUUCGGAUCAGAUUUAACCAAUGUUUAAAAUCGUACAAAAAUAUAUUUUUAAAAACCUUGAAAAUUGACCAAAAAAUUUUCAAAAUAUAUAAAUUAUUUACAAAUCUAAUUAAAAAUUAGUUAAACUAUCAAAAUUAACUAAAAAGUAUUCAAAAUAACAAAUAAAAUAAACUACAAAAGUAUUUUGAAUACUCUAAAAUAUCUAAAUCACCUUAAUAUAUAUAAAAACAUUAACAUAUUUAACUAAUUUCAGAUAUCUUCGGAUCCUAAUUUGGAUUUCGGUUUGGUUCGGGUUAUAACCAAAGUCCAAAGUAGUAAGCUCAUAAGUCCCAUUCGGAUAUUUUUGUAAAAAAGUUCGGAUUCAGUUUCGGUUUUUUCGGUUCGGGUUAAGGUCGAUACUUCGGGUUGAGUUAAAAACGCCCAGGCCUAGUUGAGUCUUGUCGUGUCUUGUGUAGGAAGUCAAGUUUGUCGAGUUGUCUAGUGUCUAGAGUCAUUUCUAUUUAUGUGGGGAUUGUUGGAACUAUUUUUUGAACAUUAUGAAUAGUAUAUUCAUAUGUCAAAAAUGAAGUUUUAUUUGAAAGAGAAAUGGAGGUAUGUGUGUGAUUUGAGAAAUUAAUAUAAAGUAGCAAAUACACACAUUGGAUAUUUGAACUUGGUUUUGUGUUUUUUUGAUUUGUUAGUUGGACUUCAUGUUCAUUAACUUAGUCUUAUAAACCAAAUAUAUGUUGAUCUUUUAUAUUGAUAAAGUAUAAAAAAAAAUCAUUUCAAAGUAUAUUAUUUAGUUUGAACUUGUCAAACAAUAAUAAUUUUACUCUUUAAUUUCUUCGUCAAAAUAUGGAAUAAAUUCACAAUAAUUGACAAGAAUUAAAGAUUCAAUUAGUGCACCAUGGAUGUUUCAUUUUUGUGUUAAAAAAUGAAACUUGUGCUUCUCAUUAUUUUCUAUAAAAGGGUUUGCUAGCAUUAUAAAAAUACACACAUCAACACCAAAAGAAAAGUUACAUUCUGCUACUUUAAAUAGUCAUGUUCGUAGUUUUUUUUGUCUGAGAGUACAAUACAAAGUUAGGUUCGAUAGAUUCUGUUUUUUGGUGAUGGUAAACAGAAAUAUAUGCAGUUGUAUCCUGGAAAUCUGAACGCUAUGAAACCGUCACUCUACGGAGUGUUUAAAAAUUUAAUGAAAGAAAUUAAUCUUCUCGAUUCUGCAAUUCUUCUUUAUUCAUUUAUUUCGGUAUUGUAAUUUUAAUUUUUGUUCUUAUUAUAUUUGUAUCCAUUGUAGUAAAAUAAGAUUCCUACAGACCUACCAAACCAUCCUUUCUUAAUUGGUGCUCAAUUCCACCCGUAAUACAAAUCCAGACCCGGGAAAGCUUCUCCUCUGUUCAUAGGUCCGAACCCAUUUCAAAGCUAGUAAAAAAGAUCCAAAACUUUUACAGCUCUCUAUUCUCUUGAAUCAGCACAAGUAUUCUAAUGAAAUGUUUCUGCACAUUCUUUAUUUGCAGGUCGCAUUGCAGCAUCGUGUCGUGAGCUAGACACAGUCAUGAAUCCAGCCUCUUUUCAUUAACAUCUCAUUAGUACCGACCCCAAGAAUCUUUCGUCAAUGGAACCUGACUCCAAGAAAUGUCCUAAUGGCUUGGCUGUGUAAGGUACAGCAAUGAAUACUGCAACGGCCUCUACACUAGAUGGCUGCAGACUCCUUUUUUUUUUAAAUCUCCAUUAGAAUUGCUUCAUUUUCAAUUUUAGUUUGGAUUUUGAGUUGUUUUUUUUUUCCUUUUCUAUAAGCAUAGGAUCUUUCAUCUGUACAUAUGAUUCAAGCUUUUGUCAGGUUUCUAGACUCAUUUAACAGAAUCUAUGUUCUGGAAAGACUAUAGAAACGUUUGAAAAUCGAGGUUGAUACCCCUAAUUUGUUUUUAUUCCAAUCAGAAGGGAUGUCGCAUAUUCGUACCAUUGGAAUAUUUUGUUUCUCAAUUUGGUCUGAGUGUGAGAUAAGCAUCUCUUAUAUAUUAAAUAAAAAGUAUUACAACGAGGUAGUAAAGUCUGUUAGAGAAAAUAUGUUUAUCCAUCUAAAUAUCUAUUAUAUAUUAAAAGGAAGUAUUACAACAUUUGAGUUAGUCAUCAUCACCACAAUUAUUCUUAAAAUUUUUAGAGAAAUAUAUUUGGCCAUCUAAAUAUAUAAUAAGUUUUUUAUUAAAUUUAUCAUAAAUUAAUUAUUAAUAUUAUUCAUUCUUUCCUUAAAUAAAAUUAUGGAAUUGUCUAAUAUGGCUAAAGUAUAUAUACAAUUAAUAAUUUUGAAUAAUAAAGAUUUGAUAAAAAAAAUUAGUGUAUCCUCUAUCAUUUUCUUAAAACUUUUUAUCUUAAAUUAAGCAACCACAUUAGCCAUAUAAUAAUAACUAGGUUAAGACCCAUGCAUUAUUAUUAAUUUUGUGUUUUAUACAUAUUAUAAAAUAAUAAAUAAAUAAAUAAAUAUAUAUAUAUAUAUAUAUAGAAUAAUUGAGAAAUCAGUAACUAUUAUGUAUAUAAUUAAAUUAACUCGAACACAUAAAUAAAAAACUCACACUUAUUUAUUUACAAUCACUUUAUAUAAGUAAAUCUAAAAAAUAAAUGAUAUUAACAUAGAUAUAUAUAUAUAUAUAUAGUAUAUUUUUUUUGGCUAUCUACUAAACGAAGCUUUAUAUUUAUAUAGUUUUAUGAUCAUUUGCUUAUUUUUAUAAAAAAAAUUUAAACUAUUGAUAACCAUUAUAUUUAUAGUAUUUAUAUAGUUUUAAACGAAGCUUCGUAUUUAUAUAGUUUUAUACGAAGCUUCGUAUUUUUAUUUUUAUUGUUAUAGUAAUUCAUAAUCGUUUUAAAAAUAUCAUUUCAAAGUUUGAAAUUAAAGUAUUAAAUUCUCAAUAUUUUUUCAAUGCAAAUUUUAAAAUUAAAAUAUUUAUGUAUUUUUAGAUGGUAUAUAGUUUGAAUAUCUAUUAAAUGACACUUCUUACUCAUUAAUUUUAUAAUCAUUUGUAUUUUGUUAUAACAAAAAAUUUAAACUAUUCUAAACAAAUAUUGUAUGUGGAAUUUUAAAAGUUUUAUUAAUUUAUAAUCGUUUUAAAAAACUCAAAAUAUAACAUAUACGAAAAAAUCUAAUUUUUUAUUAUAUAGUUAAUGUGAUUGUUUAAUUUAUUUUCACAAUAUAAAUUUGACAAAAAUAAUAAAGGUAACACAAAUUUUAUCAAAUCUUUCAUAUAAAAAUACUCAAAAUUUUGAAAAUAAUUAUACAUUUUUAAAUUAUUUAUAUUUUCUUAAAGAUGAAUGGCUAUUUUUAUUUUUCAGGAUUAAUACAAUAUAUUGUAUGAAUAAAUUAUACAUAUUAUUUUUUCUGAUUUUUAGUUAUUUUUAAUGUGACUAAUAAUUAUUAAAAAUAUUCAAUUAUUUUAUUUAUAGAAAUUAAUAACUAAUUUUAAAAAUUAAUUAAUAUUAUUUAUAAAAUAUAUAAAUUUAUUUUAGAGAUAUGAAACAAAAAUAAAUUAUUUCACAUUACUAUUCAAAUUAUAUCUAAAGUACAAAAAUUGUAUGAUAAUUUCAUCUUUAUGAAAAUAUUAUUUAUUAAUUAUUAAUUAAUUAAAAUGUAGUAGUUUCUUAAAAAAAAAUCAAAAUUCGUUUUUUUCAUAAAAGCUAACAAAAGUUGGUUUUUAGUUUUUCUUCAUAAAUUGGUUAAACUUUUGAAAAACUAGUUUCCCUAAAUUUUAGGGAAUCUAUUUGCUGAAAAGCUUGAUUGGCAAAUAAAAUGGUUUUUACAAAAACAAAAACUAAAAGCAAAAACUUGAUUGGAGGAAAAAUGGUUUUUGAGAAAACAAAAACCAAAAACUAGUCUAAAAACUGAAAACAAUCAAUCUCUAGGUAAUUUCAUAGCUUUUAUAUAAGAAAAUAGUGAAUAACAUUAAUAGUAAUUUUAUGGUUACUUUGAUAAAAAGUAUAUUAUAUGUUUAUAUGAACCAACAUUUUUCUCUAAAAACUUUGAGAAGCAUUCUAGUGAUGACAUGUGUCAUAGCUAAAAUGUUGUAAUGCUUCUCUUUUAAUAUAUAGGGGAUUUAGAUUUUUCCGUAUAUGUUAUAUUUUAAUAUUUUUUAAAUGACUAUAAAUCACUAAAACUGUUAUAAGUUUCACAUUGAAUUUUUUGUGAUCCAUGGUUUAAUUAAAAAAUUGUAGAAAAUUUUGAAAGCUUUAGUAAUACAAAUUGUAUAAUUAUGCAAAAAUAAUAAUAUUUCGAAAUUUGAAAUGUUAUAUAUGAAUAUAUUUAUUUUAUAGAUGAUGUAUGAGCUAUUACCAUAUUUAAAAAAAAGUUUACCAAAAAGAAA